rnacentral:lncRNA from 1 species
GCCUAAUAAAACAAUAAUAGGAACUUCACAAUAGCAGAUAAAGACUGUAAUAUGGUUCCAAACAGAGCUCAAUGGCUAAUGAAAAACGUAUGACAUUGUGCAUAAUAAAGCAAGAUUAUUGUUAUUGUCAGCACCCAGAUUGGCUCAGUCUUUCGCCUGUAAAGGGGACUCAACCAGACCGUGUACAACCUACUUCCCAUUGUUUCACUUUCCCUCACUUAUUUUUACUUUAAACCUAGACUUCACCUACUUCUUACAAUAAAUUGCCACCUAUGAAAGAAAGAAAGAAAAGCUAUACCUUUUGGGGAUUGUUGCUCAUUUUGCAGCAUGUAACGGUGAUUACCAGUGGAUUCACUACCAAUCAUCUACAGACGAAACUUAUGAAGAAACACUAAUUCAACUUCUCUCGAACAAAUUCAACGAAGCAUACUUCAAGUUCCCGGGCAAUUGUAGCAUCAUAGAAUCUAAUUCAAAAUCUGAAGUACUACAUCAACUAAUACAAUUCGGAUGUGUCAUGCAUUACCCGAUCUAUAGCAAGGUGCAUGAAGCCCAGAACCUUUGUAGAGAAUUGUUCACCCAAAGCUACAUCACCAGUUUCCAUGGCUUCAACCAGUAGUUGUAGUCUUGUCAUCUCAAACCAUCGGUCUUCAUUGCCAUCGGUUUGCUAGGGACUCUGUUUCAAGAAGGCGAACUACUUCUGUUCAUUGCCUCCAUUGGUAGGCGGUGAUCUUACAUUAGUCAAAGCUUGGUUGUGUCAGAUCGAACAUGACCAUUGAUGAUGCUGAAAGUAGCAUCGGUGGAGUUCACAGUUUGCCGAUGGCAGAGUAUAAAGGAUUUAGCAACAAAAAACAGAAAGACAUUAUACUUGGGUCCAAUACCCAAAAAAAGAAGAUGGGGAGAGAAAAACUAAAAACAAGAUCAGCUGAGUUCACUUACCUACGAAUUGCUUUUCUUAGCAUGUUUCGAUCAUUCUAACAACAAAAGCUGCAAGCCAACACUGCCAUUCUCAUCUCUGCCAAUCGAAUUGGAUGCCAACAUAGUCUGGGUUUGCAUGCCUUGAGGGACAAUAAGCUUAUGAUUUCUCUUUGGUACUAUUUGACCUUUUCCCUCAGCGCACAUUUGACAAUCUUGCAAUUCCUUCUGCAGAUCUGUUAUGAUCGAACUAUCUUCAUGCAUAAGUGAAAUCUUGGCUUCUGAAUUUGUUGAUUCAAGAACAACCUCGUACAGUAAAGCUGGAUCCAUUAACCGAUUGUCUCGAAGCACAACCUUUAAAUCAUCCUCUAAUUGCAUGCAUAUUAUUCGGAAUCCCAACUUUUUCACAUUUCUACCCAUUAUCGUAAUGCUAAAUUCUACAUAACUCCCAUCAAUUUGACCAAAAUCAACUACUCCCCACAGCUCAGAUGGCAUGACAUAUUGAAGCCAGAUACAAUCUGAAUCCAAGAAAAAGGUAUUGUUAAUUGUUACCCUAUAAGUCCGAUAUACACCAUCAACGGAUGCUACGAGAUUAAAAGGCUGUCCCUCUAUCUUUUCAUCAUUUCCGACAGCAACACAGAGAGCAAGUCCAAGAAACUUGUCAUACAAUUCCUUUGAAGCCAUGAAAGAUAUGGUAUCCUCUUCAACAGGAAGAAUCCACUUUGGCAUCUCUCCUCUAGGGAGAGUAAUUAGGUACUGAGGGAUUCGACCAGGACCCUGUUAUAAGGGUAGACCGUUAGAAAGUACCGAGUCUAUUAUCAGCACCCAAAUAGAAAAUUCAAUUUCAAUUUAGUAAGUAAUCCUAGUCAAUUCCACUAUGAAUGAGCACUCUAUGAAUAAGUAGAGAUCCAAAUAAUCCUUUCUUCUUUAAUAUACAAGUCUCAUGUGAUAGAAAUCAUUCCCAUAAAAGUACAAUACCCCUCCAUUACAAUGCAUUUGGCAUCCACUGAUUAUUCAAGCCAGUGACAUAUAUGCAAUAUUUUCCUCGUUCUUGGUAUUGUUAGUCUAAAAUCAAUGCCGUAUACUGAUUAUUUACGCUAAGAUAUAGACUAUAUGGUGCGACAUUUCUCUUUCUUAGUUAACUUUUGUAAUGUGAUGGUUUUCAUUUUAUACCAUCCACAUGAUAACUGAUUUAAAGAACGCCUUUUGAAAUUAAUGCACAUCUAAACAAGAUUAAUUAAUAAAGUUUUUCUUGGCUACAUAAUAACUAUAUUUCUUAUGUAAACUACCAAUUUAUAUAUGAUUAAUUGCUCUGUAAAUUAAUUAUGCCCCUAUGUUUCCUAACUUUAUUUUUUUUAAUUAAAAGUUAACGGAAAAAAAAUAGUAAAUGACAGUUUGUGUAUAACUAUAGAAAUGAUUUUUUUAAGUUAUAGUCUUAAAGAACAUAAAUGUUAUCUAUUUAAUUGACACUCCUUUUAUUUCCUUUAACGAAAUAUAUGCUGAAGGAGGAAAAUGGAGCCAAUGAAUGUGUGACACACGAAAUAGCCACAGCAUACUAUUCUAUCCAACUUUGCAUUAUUGAUAUGCCAGAGGAGAGACGGUCUCCUUUAGUGGAGUUUAGUUGGGUAUUCAAAAAACUCUAGAAUACCGCAUUGAUAUUAAAAAAAAAUUCAUACAUUUUUAUUUUUUAUAAUUUCUCUUGUGCGAAUCCACAUUGAUAUAAAAAGUUUGACCUCACUUCAUAUUUAUUUGCUUUUCUUAAGCCUCCCCUUGCAUUUUCUGCUAUUGCAAUAUACAAGCACACAAAAUCCAGCUUCACAUCGAUGAGAGAGAAAGAGACAGAGACAGAGAGAGACUAACCGGGUAAAGUGGGUAAAUAUCGCCGUUGGUCACCCCUCUACGGAUAAAAUCAUGAAAUGAAGUUACUUCUCCAGUAUUUUGCAUAGAUUCACAAUCAUCCGCCAGAAGACAAAUCAAAAAUGGUGGAAGCUCAGGAAUCUCUUGUAAUUGAUGGCUUCCUCUAACACUCAAAUAGCGCAAAUGAUCACGCUUAUUGAUGGAGGUAGGAAGGUUAGUAAUAUUAUUCCCCCCAAGGAAUAAAAAUCCCAAGAAGGGAAAACAGGAAAGAUUCUCAAGAAACUUUACUUCUGACAAAUUACAUCCAUAAAGUUCCAACCAACGUAAAUUUGGAAGUCCAGUCUUCAUGCAGUGAUCAGCUGAUUCCUCAUACAUUGGAAACCCGAAUAAAUUUGUGCAAAAGUUAACUUCCAAGUGUGCAAGGCUUUGUAACUUAUAAAUGCUAGACGGAAGACUUACCAGGUUCUUGCAAUGAUUUAUAAACAUAUCAUUCAAAGAGACAAGAUUUUCUAUUGAUGUAGGAAGCUCUUUAAUAGCGGUCCCUUGUAAAUGAAGCUUUUUCAGGCCUUCGAGUUUAUGUGGAAUAUCAGGGAAACUUUCAAAUUUUGUACAAUUUUCAAGGUAGAGAGCUUGGAGAUUUUUUGACUUGAGCACAUUUGGAAAAACACUAAGUUCAGGGCACUCGCGUAAAUUCAACACCUGUAGCUUGUCAUGAUAUGCGAUGGACUCGUGGGCCUCUACCAAGUUUUUGCAAUACGGGAGAUUCAAUUGCUCCAGAUUUGGAGUGCAUGAAAUGUCGGGCAUACGAACCAGCGACUCACAAUAACUGAAAGUAAUGUACUUUAAACUUUGGAAGUCCUGAAAAAACAGUGAAAACAAUUAUUGAUAAACAUUCUGAAAGGGACAAAAAAGGAGUGCUUGUAUGAUGAUGUUGCUUCCUUGAAUUUAAACCAUGGGAUUCCCGUUUGAGAAUAGGUUGCUACUAAAUCAUAUCCAGUAUUGAUCUUUCAAGAAAUUACUAUAUUUUAGGUCAUCAACCGUAAAUAUUGAGCAAUUUGUUUAUUUAACGUAGAGGUGAUAUGCUAUGGAGUCCACAAAUAGGUCUAUGCCAUUUGUUGUACAGAGAUGGGGGGAGUCAAUCAUUUGCUCAAACUGGGGAAAUAAUGGUAAUUUAAUACCAGAUGUCAUUCACGUUAUCCAUGGUUUUAUAAUAUUCAUCUUUAAAAAUAUCAUAAUUAAUUUGUAGGGGCUUGGCUUGAUUGAUGAUUAUAAAAUUGGCUACACAACACAUGGGGGACAUUGGGUUUCUCAGGGAAAGGAUACGUCAUAAUUACAUAUCCUUGACUGUUAUAUAAUCUGUAUUGAACUGGUGUAUAUGAAGGUCAUAACACUAUUCAUGCGAAAAGAAGCAAGAAACUUCGGUAGAUCAGGCAACUAGGAAGCAUUAAUAAAUUCAAAUAAAAUUGUGAUAGACAAUUAUUAAAAAAUUUAGAAUUAACACCACUAAAAAUCCCAAAUUAGUACAAAGAAUUAUUCCAAAUUAGUUUUUGUUUCAUAAAAAUCCUAAGCCAAUACCACUAUGACACAGUUACCUCAAAACUUUCUUCUAACAAAAAAAUUUUAAUCUGAUACUCCUAACCCAAAUCUACCUUCCAUUAGCAAACGAAAAUUAGUUUGGGAUAAAAUUGUGCCAUGUGUCAUUCAUGUGGCAAUCACAAAAUUCAAGUGAAGUAUUAGGUGGCGAGGACGCGAAUGUGGACCACAUGACAAAACUAUACCACACGUCACGCCAUGUGAUAACCAUAGAAGCAUAUAGUGAAGUGCCACAUGGCGAGUGCAGAUGUGGGCCACAUGACAAAACUAUUUUACAGGUCAUGCCAUGUGGCAAUCACAAAACUAAAACAAGGUACCAUGUGGCAAGUGUAGGAAUGAAGACUCUGUUAGUUCUGGUUUUAACUAUAAAUCAUAAAUGAAUGGGGAAUAUAAAUACCAUCCUAAUGUAUUUGCAUAAAAUUAAUAAACUUAUUUUUUUUUUUUUCAAGUCAUAAGACAACGAAGCCAACUUUGAAAAACAUUGGAAAGAUGAUAGUGAUUUCAUAUACUCAAUUCAAAUCUGGCUUUGACUUUCUAUUAAGAAACUAGCAGUAUGCCCCUACUGGAUCAUUUAUAUUAAUUUAGUUGUGCACACAUUACACCCAUUAGUGGCAAAGUUCCUCACAAAAUACUCUAUUAUGUCCACUUAGAAGUGUUGCUCCUUAAGAAAUGAUUUUCAAAUGCCUUGUUUUACAGAAUGGUGCAUUCAAACCUUUGACUAGGCUAAUUUUAUUGAUGCUGGACAAAUUCCCAUUGUUUGGUAUGUGAAUUAAAUAAGCCUCUAUCACUUUAUGUUUGCGUGGCCUACCACUCAACCAGCUACUGCUUGAGUGUCUUUACUUCUAUAUUCAUGUCAACGGGUAGGUUUGUCAUAUUUUUGUUUCCCUUUUAUUCAAUCACUAUACAAUUUUCCUGUAAAAUAAAUAUGUUCAUAUGUAAACAAUCGAAAUCAAAUUGCAUUUUGAAUUUCUCCACUAGGUAGAUUUGAUCUGAUUUUGAAAUAUAUCUAUGUGGAUAGUUAGAGAUUUUAGGCUGUGUGUAAACUUUAUCUAUACUAUUAUAUAAGGUAAAGAUGAUAUCCUACUUUAAAAGAUUUCAAGGUUUUUUUUUUUUUUAAUAUUCCUUCCAUCAAUUAUCCUCAAUUACUUAUUUUAAAGAUAUUAUACCAUGGAUAGAUAUGUGAAAUUGAUUAUUUUUAUUUUUUUAUCACUCACAUAUGUCAAUAUGAAAAGUCGAAUUUUUCUAAUGAUGCAAUGACCUUCAUAAAAAAUUAAAAAAUAAAAAACUUCAAAUCUUGAAAUAUCUUUCUCUUUCCACAUAUAGGUAUAAAACUUCUUUGUAUAGUGUAUUUUAUUAACAAAAAUUGUUUCCAUUGAGUAUUUCUAAUAGACUUGUUCACAUUAUUUUUUAAAUGUUGAUUUUGCUGCAGGUAAAAAUAUUUCAAACGCAAGUUGUUAGGGUCAUUUUGAAAGAAAAUAGAAAAGUGGUUUCUAAAACAUAGGAACACCACUUCCUUUUCUAUAUUAGCCCAUAUAAUACAUAAAGUGAAGUAGAUAAUAAAAAGGUUUACGUAGGUAAAUGCUCACCUUAAAUUGUUUUACCACUCCUGUGAUAUUGCCUUCACUCAUAUUAAGUCCCACUAAUUUCUUUGGACCAGAGGAAAAUUCUGGAAUCCAACAAGCACCGUCACAUUCCAACCAUCUUAGCCAAUUAGGAAGAUAUAUAGGACCUUGGAAAGAAUUAUGCACAUUACGCAAAAUGAGCAAUCUCAACCUUCUCAUUUUUGUAAAAGCAUCAGGAUCGAUACAUAUCUCUAUCGGCACAAGUGACUCCAACACUAUGGCUUUUACAACACAAUCUCCCUGUAUACAAGGCACUUUAGGUUAUGCAUGUUUCAUAAUUAGAGUCAAAGAUAAGGAGCAAAAGAUUUAAUCAUAUUCGCAAGUCUUACCAUGUCGCUUGAUAGAACAUUGAGAAUAUCAUCAUACAUCCAUAGUCUGCUGCAUUUCUUGGGAUCAUCUUGACAUUCUUGGUUCACAAUAUCUAUACCCAUUGCUUGAAUCAAGUCAUGCAUUUGCAGUCGGUCGUCCUCAAUGCUUAUCAAGGACCUCUCAAUGAGAAUAUCAAAUCCUACAGCUGUCUCAAAAUCGCAACUGUCGAUAACUUUCUUCACGUAGUUACUAUUCUUUCCCUUAAAGAAGCAAGCAAUGUGGAGAAAAAUCUCUCUCUCAUUUUCCUCUAAUCCAUUAUAACUUAUUUUGAGCACAUCAUUAAUGGUUUUGUCAGGAAUCCUAGAAAGUUUCCGAAGUGUACUUUCCCAUACAUCUUCUCUUCUACCACAUAAGAAGGAACCCAACACUUCAAGUGCUAAAGGAAGGCCUCCGGCAUGAUUUAGAAGACUAUCCACUAGAUCUGUCCUAAUUUCUGAUUUUUGACGUGUUGAAAAAGCAUGGUUACUAAGCAGCUCGCGAGCUUCACUAUUAUCAAGUGCUUUAACUUCGUAAACAUGAUCCUGAUCAAUCCCAUGACAAGUUAGCAAAUGUUUAUCUCUUGUAGCAACAAUGAUCCUACUUCCAUUACCAAACCACUUGCAUUCUCCUGCUAAAGCAUUUAACUGAUGUAAGUCAUCCACAUCAUCAAGGACGAGGAGAACUUUCUUAUGACGAAGUCUAUGUUGUAUCAAAUUAAUACCUCUAUUAACACUAGACACUACUAAUCUUUUUUGUAGUGAUAAAAUCUCGGAUAGUAAUGUUUCUUGCAACUGAACUAAAUCCUUGGAAUCUUUUGAAGCUUCUCGGACAUUUGGCAAAAGACACGAACUCUCAAAUUGUCUAAAAAUAGCAUUGUAUAGAGCUCUUGCUAAAGUUGUCUUCCCUAUGCCUCCUUGUCCCCAUAAUCCCACCAUGACAACAUCAUCAUCAGACUCAAGGUUUAACAUUGAUUUCAGCUUAACCACUCGGGAAUCUAUCCCAACCGGAUGCUUAGCAACAUGCAAAUGUGUUCGGUCUAGGCGAGUGGAAAUCUCCUUCACAAUCCUUUGUAUAAGCUCUGACUCAUCUCUAUCAAAAAUGGAAAAAGAAGUAAGAUUGUUUUAGCAAUUUGAAUAAGCAAAUCAUGAGCAAUCACUAGCCAAAAUGACAAAGGAGUGCAUCACAUUUUCACAUGAUCACAGCAAAAACAAAAUGCAUUCCCACCGAGUGGAGCUCCAUGCCAAUCAAAACAAGUUCAAGGUUCAACUUUUAGUCAUCCAACUAAUUCAUGUUCUUUUGAUUUAUGCAUGAUCAUUUACUUAUUUCACCUUUUGACUGUUAUAUGUGAUUUAUCUACACGCUUAAUCAAAAAGAGUCAUUUAGGACUUUGAAAAGUAGUUAAGAUUUCGAUUGGAAAACUAUUAAAUACCUGAAGCACGAUGUCAUUGCAUGGCUUCUACUCAAUAAUUGUGGACUUUCUUACUCCUUCCAAAGAAAUGGGGCAAGUGCAAUAACAACAUUUAACAUUUUGCCCAUUGGUCCAUCAAGUUUUAAGAUUUAGACUUACAAUCAUGCCUGUGUUGAUUCAUUUAUUAUUACCAUUUUUACAAACAAUCUUUAUAUUUACUUGUAAAGAUUAGUUUCUUUCACAAAAUAUGAAUUCCACUCAACUUACCCAUCGUUCAAAUGCCACCCAGACAAGCUACCGGCCUCGAAAAGAGCUUUCUUCCAUCUCUUCACUUCCUUCGAAUUCUUUCCAAGCUUGAUCUCAUGCUUGGCCAAAGCUCUCCCAUAACUCUCUCUCCCCCCUCUAACUUCUCUUGGGUCCACUUUAUAAAACACCGGUAGCACAGUCAGGUCCUUUUGUUCCUUGCACUCCAUAAUCUUCGCCACCUCUUCCAAGCACCACUGUGAGGAGGCAUAAUCCUCCGAGAAAAUGAUGAUUGCGAUACACGAUUCUUCAAUGGCCUUCAUAAGUGCCCGUGAUAUUUGUUCUCCCCUCCUCAGUUCCUCACUAUCAAUGAAAGUGAAUAUUCCAUUCUGGUCUAAAGCUUUGUAGAGAUGACCAAGGAAGUUGUCGCGCAGGUUUGUGCCUCUGAAACUCAAGAAGACAUCAUAAAUCCCUCGGGAUUUCGAUGAAGAAGCCAUUAGAUUAUGGGGUAUAACAAUUAGCGAUGACUCUUGGUGAUUUAUUCUUAUAAUAGAGGAUAGAGCCUUUCAAAACCAUGACAUACUCUUGAAGGACCCAUCUCAGCAGCUGCUAUAUCCUCACUUGAAACUGACAGGGAAAGACGCGAAAACCAUAUUAGCAUUCCAUCAUCAAUAAUGAUCCGUCAGCUGAUUGCUACACUAAGGAAAAAGAACUCAAGUGUUCAGAUCAAACAUUCUUACCAAGUUAACACUAACCAAUACUAGAACUUGCCACACCACACAUUCAACUUUACAAACCCCUUUUCUCUUGUGAAGUCUAUGUAGGAACAAAUUGUACAGCUAAAGAGUCUAAAAUCUAUGGCCGGACAACUACUCCUUCAGCUUGGUGUGAUGGAACUUGAGCCUACAACUGGCACUGCGGUGAAGUCCAAUGUUGCAAUGGCUUCCAACUCUUAAAUUGCAUCAACAGUGAUAAUCGAACUAGUCAAGUGAGGCAUCAGCAUACCAACCACUUCCUUGGUUCUUCGAUUGCUACAGAACACAUACAUAAUUAAAAGCCAAACAAAACAUCGCGGCUAAGUUCGUUACCACUAGUUACUUUGUUAAAAAUAAAAAAAAAAUAAAAAAUAAAAAACAAAAUGAACAAAGAUCACAGUGAUAAUAAAAAUAUAAUAAAAGACAAUAAUGCAUGAGCAUGGACAUACCACUAGCUAACCCAUCUAAACAGCUAGGCCGUAGCGAAUUCUAGUAGAACAAGAAACUGUAACUAAUGUUGAAUCAAGAAAUUGGCCUCACCCUCAUGUGCUGUGUAAUGCUCUUCAGCAUCACAGGUGAAAGGUGAACCAAAAGGUAGAGCUUUCAAAUGUAUGCUCUAAGGACAAUACAGAGUUAUUCACUUCAAGAGAUGGCACUAUAGAACUACAUGUACAUAGAAAUGCAAGUAAUCACAUCAGACCUCAGCUUAGGAGCCUCAUAACCUGCACAAACAGAUGAACAAACGAUCAAUCAAGCAGCAAUUUCAGGGACGUGAAGAUGGUCUUCCACUUCCACUGCAAAACCUGGGUUGCUCUCAUCUUGCAGUUCAUGAAGCUCCGAGUACUGAGAAUCUAGAAUGCCCUACCUCAACCCAGGGCCACAUAAAAGCACAUCAUAAAGCAAAAACGAAGGGAAAAAAAAAUUUUGACAGACGAACAAUGAACGGACCUUGGUCUGCUAAGGGCCUGCUGAGAUCGAUGGCGACAAACAAUAACCCCUUGGUUCUGCUCUGCAUCAAACAAAAUGUUAGGAGAAACCCCAUGAUAACAAAUUAGGACAAUUUAUCCCCAUGAUUUAAAAAAAAAAAAAUAGGGCAAUUACCCUAAAUCGUACGGGCGGAGGCGGAGGCAACGGGGGCGGUUCGGUGGUUCGAGGCGGAAGCGGAGGCAGCGGGGCGGCGUCCUCCGUGUAAACCCUCUGGAUUCGUUGUGAUUUGGCGACGGCGGAGGCAGAGGCCGCGUGGUCAGGGCUCUGUCAUGACUCGGAGGGAGAGAGAGGGCACAGCCGGGAGGCGCUAGCGACUCGGUGACGGCAGAGGCAACGGACGAGCCGGAGACGGAGCCGGAGGGGCGGCGCGAUGGCUCGUCGGUCGGACGAGGGCUCGGUGGUUCGUCGGAGGGAGAGAGAAGGAGCAGAUCGGGCGCGCAGAGAGAGAGUGCAGGACGAGCCGGAGCCGGAGGGGCGGCGCGGUGGUCCGUCGGUCGGGCGCGGUGGUCGUCGGUCGGGCUCGGAUGGAGAGAGAGUCGGGAGAAGAAGUGAGAGAGAAGGUCGGGCGAAGAAGUGCAGGGGAAAGGGAAGAAGUGCCACUCUAGUUAAAAAAAAUUGGCCUGACAACUUGGGCCACUCCGACACGUGGCGCAAUUUGGAGUUCCUCCUUGUUCUCCACGCUCACGAGACGUACUGAAUAUUUUCUCGUGUUGCCGGUUCGGCCAAGGGGACCACAUUAUCAAUAAUCACAGCCAAAACAAGAUGUAUUCCCAAAUUUCCCACGAGUUGAAUCAGAACUCCAAGAGCUCCACAUUAAUCAAAAUAAGUUCAAGGUCUUAACUUUUAGUUUUCCAAGUGAAACUUUUUCUUUUUGAUUUAUACACGACGACUUACUUGUGUAGUAUAUUAAUACGUCCAUGAUGGAUUGUGAUUGGAGCACGCCAUUUCGUCUUUGGUAUAUUACGAUGGAAAGACAUCAUUUGAAAAGGUAUGAGGAAGUUAUAUAAAAGUCUUUUGAAGAUAACCAUUGAGACAGUUUGUAAAAUGUACGCUCAGAAAUUCCUCUAUUUUUCUUGUCCUCUUUUCAUCAAAAGGAAAAGAAUGCAUUCCACUUCUCCUUUAUGAGAACAAUUGGCAUUUACGUCACGAAAAUCAUAUAUUUUCCUCAUGAUUGCAUUCAGACCAACGUGAAGUAAUUUUGUUCGUGAUUCAUCCGCAAUUCAAUCGUUUCGGGAUAAAUUGUUGACGGCGCAUUAGAAAUAGGUAAGUCGUAUUCCGCCAACUUCCUUCCAACAUUGGUAUCAGAGCAAGGUCGUGAUUUCUGUCUUGUUUUCAUCGAAUUUUCUCCUUUACCACUUGAUAACGAGAUCAAGAGAUUGAAUUCUACAUUGUAUGUUUAUUGCUCGGAAAUGCAAUCUGAAUCAUCGAAAAUGAACCAAAGCAAAGAACGGAUUUGGGAUCAUGUACAUCCGUAUGGUUUUGGCCAUUAUUCGGAAUAUUUUUCGAUCAAAAUAAAUUUUUAAAUAUAAAUGGUGAAAGUACUCGUCGAAACGAGUCCGAUGAUGGUUCAAGUGCCGCCGGUGCCAGACGCCGGUGCCAGACGCGCCCACACGCACGGCCAAAAAAAGCCCCAAACCAAAAAAGUCCCAAAUUAGUUCACUUCACAUUUCUCUCUUCUCCCGUUCCCUAGCGUCGAUCUUCUCCCGUUCUCUACCUCUGCUCGACACCACUACCGCUUACCCUCGAUGCUACCGCCAACCUCUGCUCGACGCCACCGCCGACCUCUACUCGACACCACUGUCGCUCGCCCUUGACGCCACCGCCGACCUCUAAUCGACACCACUGCCUCUCGCCCUCGACGCCACCGCCGCUGGCCCUCGACGCCACCGCCAACCUCUGCUCAACGCCACCACCGCUCGCCCUCGACGCCACCGCCGCUUGCCCUCGACGCCACCGGCGACCUCGCCCUCGACGCCACCGCCGCUCGCCCUCGACGCCACCGCCGCUCGCCCUCGACGCCACCGCCAACCUCUGCUCAACGCCACCGUCGCUCGCCCUCGACGCCACCGCCAACCUCUGCCCAACGCCACCGCCGCUCGCCCUCGACGCCACCACCGACCUCUGCUCAACGCCACCGCCGCUCGCCCUCAACGUCACUACCGCUAGCCCUCGACGCCACCGCUGACCUCUGCUCAACGCCACCGCCGCUCGCCCUCGACGCCACCACCGCUUGCCCUCGACGCACCGGCGACCUCUGCUCACGCCACCGCACUCACCCUUGACGCCACCGCUGCUUGCCUCGACGCCACCACCGGACCUCUGCUCGACGCACUGCCGCUCGCCUCAACGCACCGGUCGCUGCCUCGAUGCCACGCCGNNNNNNNNNNNNNNNNNNNNNNNNNNNNNNNNNNNNNNNNNNNNNNNNNNNNNNNNNNNNNNNNNNNNNNNNNNNNNNNNNNNNNNNNNNNNNNNNNNNNNNNNNNNNNNNNNNNNNNNNNNNNNNNNNNNNNNNNNNNNNNNNNNNNNNNNNNNNNNNNNNNNNNNNNNNNNNNNNNNNNNNNNNNNNNNNNNNNNNNNNNNNNNNNNNNNNNNNNNNNNNNNNNNNNNNNNNNNNNNNNNNNNNNNNNNNNNNNNNNNNNNNNNNNNNNNNNNNNNNNNNNCCAUACUGUGCUUAUCAUGUCAAACUCUGUUAUCUGGGUUUUUAAAAGCUAAACAUUUCUAUGAUUGUACCUUACCAAAAAAAAAAAAAAAAAAAACAUUUCUAUGAUUGUAUUUAAUGUAUCACUAUCACACCAAUAGUUUUUGUGUAUUUGCAGGUAUCAAUCAAUGCCGCAUAAGGCAGUUGAAGAAAAUAUAGUCGUAAGCACUUCAAAUCUUUACGAUCACUAUUUUCUUCCUCCUCAGAGAGGUAUGACCAAGAUAACUGCUGCUCAUUUGCCAUACUUCGAAGGCGACUAUUGGUCUGCUUCUGCCGAGAAUUUGAUCAAGGAUAUUGAACAAAAAGAUGUGGAUGACUUGCAAAAGAAAGGACAAAAAAUUUCAUCAAGAAUUUUGAAAGCCAUGGGACAUAAAAGCUCUUCUGAUGGUGCCAAAAAAAGACAUUCUUUUCAUGCAAAAGGUAUCUCAUUUUGUUCAUCUCAAACGUUAUAUAUAGUACUGUUGCUCUAGCCUCUAGAUUGAUUAUAACCUAUGAUCCAGACACCCGAACAACAAGGAGGUUUAAUUAGCCAAUUAUUGUUGGUAUGAACGUGUAUACAGAUUCUGCCUCUGUUUCCCUCCCAGAUAUUCGGUUUACUUCUAUUCAGAGCUUAAUAUGAGGAAGAAUUCCCUCUUUGCAACCCAGGUUCCAAAUGUCAAAUCGUAUACUGGAGCUUUCUGAUCUAUUUUGUGUAGGUUCAAUUGCACUUCAUUGCAAGCAAAUUCCUUCCUAAAUUACUGCUAAACUUGCAAUCAAAUAACUGAGUAUCAGUUAUUCUUUGCCAAUGAUCUAAAGCUCUUAAGAAAAUUAGUUAAUGCAAAGGAUGCUCAGCGCAUGGAUGAAACUGGACUAGUUUAAAAUCCAUAUAAGUUGUUAAAGCUGAGGACUGUAAGUUCUAACUUGCUUUUGUGCUCUGCAAUUGAUGCUGUAAUGACUGCAUGUCAUGUUUUGUUUGAGUUGUUGCUUUACUCCUGCGGGAUCCUUGUAUGACAAUAAGCAAUCUUAUUUUUUCCCUGAAGAUUUCCUAUUCUGUCUACAUAUGUCAGUUGCAUAAUGCUAACUCCAUGAGAUCUACAGUUCCAUAGCCAUUAUUGAGUUUCACAAGGUUCUGUUUGGACCUUUCUUAAACUCAUGAAGAAGUGGGAGUCACGAGACAUCUACAAGGUUUUGGCUAAUUGCUUGAAACUUAGUAUGGACACAAUGGUUCCAGACAAUUAACAUGAGGAACUAUCCCAUCGUAGAUUGCUAUUUCAUUCUGAUACAAUGGCAAUCUUUUUCUUUUUGAUUUUUUUUAACCAAAAAGAGAGAUGCUAUUUCAUUAGAUGGUGCCAAAUCUAGUGGCAUUUUCUAAUCCUGUGUUUUUCUGAACAUUCAAGAGGCUAAGUUAAAUGUCAAGAUCCGCAUCGGCUUGUUUAACUUAGCAGUAUAUAAUACUGUCAUUUCGUGUCAUAGACUGAAUAAGAUUCAUUUAUUAGAGAAAUGAUGAUAUCUGUUCAGCAACUUCGUGGCUGGUUGAUUUUACCUUCUUUUCUGUAUCUUUAAAUUAUGCUCUCAUUAUUUUUCUCUUAUUAAUAACAGCUUGGGGAAAAAAUCCUGCCUGCCAAGGAAGACUUCAUUGUUGUCCAUUUGCAGUAUGUAUACUCUCACUGCCUUGAAGUUAUACUGUCCACAGAACGAUAGUUCUGCAGUCAAUGCAAAAAAUUUCAGCUAUGCAAGAGGUAAUAUCUAAAUAAGAUUUUCCCGUUGUGUCAUUAUGUUCCUAGACAUUGCUUUGCAUGAAAUGUUGCAGACUUAUUUGUCAUCAGCGGAGUUCAGAGAGAAAUUUGGAAUGACAAAGGAUGCUUUCUAUAAGUUGCCCAAAUGGAUACAGAACAAGCUUAAAAUGGCACUUCAAUUGUUUUGAGUCUGGUUUGAUAGCUCUAUUUAUUCUUUUGCUUUUUCCAUCAAGGCAUGGCAAGCAGCAGGUAGCUUUUUCGGGAUAUCUGUAAUAAAAUCUUUCCUUGUCUCAUGUUUCUUCAAUAUUAAUUUAAAUAUAGCUUCAUUGAGUGUUGUCUAACCACCAAUUAAUUACUUUUCAUUGUGCAGUUGGUGAAUUUGGAGCGGCAUUAGUCAAAGGGGUAGAAAGGUGCCUUUUUUUUUUUUUGGAUGCUUCUGCUCCCAAGGAACUACUUUUGGCAAUUUAUGGACAUAGAAGCUCUGGUUUGUUUCUUUCCUUCUUCGUUAUAGUUCAAAUCUGAAAAUGAAAAAAAAAAAAAAAAAAAAAAGAUCCCGUUGGAACUUGGAACCGACCCUGGAAUCUAUGACAGGGUAGGUUCCAGGUUUUUGGUUCUGACGGGUAGGUUCCAAGUUCCAAAAAAUGAGAAACCUAUACUCGAUGGUAGGUUUUAGGUUCCAGACGGAACCGAACCGGAACCGAAAACCGCUCACCCCUACUUGGAGCCCCAACUCACAAAUUUCAUUACUACCUAUGAUGGUAUUUCCACUCUAGAGUGGCAAAUGAAGUAAUUAUACCUCAAAAGGACUAAAGCUUUUAACUUUUCUGUUUGCUUAACCAUUCAUGGUGAAUAAAAUUAUUAAAAGAUUUAUAACUAAAUUAAUCAAAUUGAAAAAUUUAGGAUUGAAUUGAUAGUCGUACAUAAGUGUAUGACUUUUUGGACUAGAGAUCUACUAUCAUGCAUAGUCAUUCCUCACAUAUCUCAUAGUUUGGUCUCUAUUGGUCUAGAGGUGAUUUCCUCCCACUUCAAAACCCAAACCCCCACGAAGCUGAUGAUGGAUGUUAUUUUUUGUGUCUAACUUGGAAAUUUUUUGUUGUCAUGCUAUUCUAGUUUCUACUUCAAUUUGUUUAAAAUCUUUUGACAUGCUUAAUCAUAUUGUGCUUUGGAAAUUACGGUUCAAUGCAUGCAAAGGAGGAUAGUAUUUUGUCAACAUAUCAACUGCAUAUACAAAAAUUCAUGGUAUGAACAAAUUGCUCUUUAAAUGGUGACUUAAUUGUCCAUAUUCCAGCUAUAUUUUGAAAUAUUUAUUGUGACGAUUUUUUUUUUUUUUGUUAAUCUAUCAAAUCUGAAAAUGUUUCUAACACGGGGUCGGAGUGCAUUUUGAAAAUGUAGGGGGUUUUGGAGUAAUUUUGAUAAAAUUGAAGGGUAUCCAAGUAAAUUUAUACUAGAAUAAAUAUCGCUACAGGAUAAUAGAUCUUCAUUCAGAUUUUAUUUUUUUAUAAAUUAGAAGUUCCUAAUAGCUCCUUAAAAAUUGGAAUUUAAAGAAAUAUGAUUAAUUUGAGGGGCCGAACAUUAUGGAUCUAUACGUAAACUUAUGUUUUCCCUACUUGGACCUUAAUUGAAAUUUUGAGAAGUUGGGGGACUAGGAUUAAACUAACCUAUGUUGGGAAUAUAGGUGCGUUUGGGAAAGGCAUUCCCAAAGCCCCUUGGGCAUUCAAAGUCCUUUAGGCCCGUUUGGUUCGGUUUUGGGGAAAUGCCAUUGGGAGAAUGCAAAUAUCUUUAACGUAAAGGGGUUUCUCGAAAUGCUACACCAUUUGGUAAAUUACAAUCUCAAGUAGCAUUGAAAAAUAACUUUAGCAAAAACACCGUUUGGCAAAACUUGCAUUUGUAAUUGGCUUUUGCUUUUUUAUUUUUUUUUUAAGUCUGAAAAUAAAAUCCGGCAGCCGACUAACUGCCGGCCAACCGCCGGCGCUCCACCAGCCAACUGCCGAACGGCCAAUCUAGUCGCCGGACCACCAGAUUUGGCCUCUCGACAGCCAGAUCUGGCGGCUGAGGUCGCGACCUCAGGUAGCAUCGCUUGGCGCGCGUGAACCAGGCGACGAAGCCUGGGUCGUGGGUCGCGCCACCCCGAGCGAUGGUCACCGGGGACGCACGACCCCCACGCAGUGGUGGCGGUUGCCGGAGAAGCCGAACUCUCAGGCAGCGGGGAAGACGAAGACGAACGUGGAAGAAGAUGAACAAUAACGGUGAUGAACAAUGAACUUGCAUAUCCGAAAUGCCCAAUGCUCAAAGCUGGUCCUCCCCAGCAUUCAGCUUUCGGCAUUUAGAAUGCCCGCAUUUGGCAAAUGAGCAUUCAAAAACACUUGCCAAACACGAAAAAUUUUCCCCAAGGGGCUUUGGGGGCUCAAAGCCCCUUAGAAAGCCCAACCAAACGGGGCCUACAGCUUUCGGCAUUUAGAAUGCCCGCAUUUGGCAAAUGAGCAUUCAAAAACACUUGCCAAACACGAAAAAUUUUCCCCAAGGGGCUUUGGGGGCUCAAAGCCCCUUAGAAAGCCCAACCAAACGGGGCCUAAAUCAAAUAAAAUGUGUUUGGCAAUUUUAUUUUUUUUAAACCCCACUUCCCAAAUACAAGCCUUCCAAGGUUGAGAGUCCAAGGCAACUGAGGGAAUCCCUUGAGCUUUUGCCUUCUAGACAUGCUAAGCUGCUAUUCAUCUUCUUCUUCUCCAUUGAACAAGACCGACAUAGCUAUGAGUGGACGCCAGCGAAGGGCAGACGGUCGUAGCGACCUAGAUCUAUCGUGCAACCUUUGUUUAAGGGCCGUCUGAGGUCGCAUGAUUGGAUGGCCCUCGCCCAGGUCAUGCAACUUCUGGCAACCCAAAUCUAAGUCGCUGGUUGCGAGACCCACCUCUAGCGACCCAAAUCUAGAGAAUUCAAUGUGACAUUAUUUUAAGAAUAAGUUAAAUGACUUGAUUCAUCGCAGAUAUGAAAACUAAAAAUAUGUGUAGUACAUAAUUGAUUGAGGCAACAAAUUCCCCUAAACUGACAAAUUGGGAUUAAAUUAGUUUCUAAAUGAAACCUAAGCCCUUAAAUUCUAUUGCAACCUAACUUGCAAGUCAUGAGGCAAGUUCCUCAAAGGAGUAGGGGUGAGCAUUGGGUCUAGGGUCAACACUAAACCGACCCUAUAUCGGUCUAACCUUGCCGACUGGUCCAAUUCUUAGGAGGACUAGGUUGGUCCUUGGUCUAUAUAUCUCUGAACCAGCAUUGUGUGAGUUAGUCCUGGAUCCUAAGAGUUUAGGGUCGAUUCAACUUAAACCAAUUCUAACUGUAUAUAUUAUAUAUAAUAUCUUUAGAGAUAUUAUAUAUAAUAUAUCUAAUUUAUUAUUUAUAAUGCUUUUGUAUAAUUGAUAGAUCAUUAUAGGAACUUCCUGUCUUGUCUCAUAUUUGUCACACCUCAAAUGCCGGGUACACACACAUCUCUCGGCGGUCGAUUAAAAAUGCGACGUCCUAGGACUCGCUACCAACCCAUUUUUUUUAUCUUUCAAUUAAGUACAUGUGGAAGCAAAUUAAAUAAACACCUAGCCAACAAACAAACACAGUGAUAGUAAAAAUACAGCAACUAACGCCGAAAACAACAUAUUUAUUUAUCAAUUGUUAAACCUAGGAAGUUUAAUACUUACAAGCCUUUCCACGGCCACUUCCUAUCAUCCCUUUCAAAAACCUCUAAAGAUUAGGGUUCAACCUAAACUUCACUAUCGACAGGGCGAGCCAAAAGGUGUCAUAUCUCGCACCCACCAAAUCCGCACUCAGCAGAUCUCCACGCUACGGCCCUGAAAAAGUUUAACCACGACGGGGUGAGAUAAAUCUCAGUGAGUCAAAACCCUAAGCCCCGGUUAGGACGCAAAUUCGCCUCAAAGAACACGCACCAUACAAAACUCACCUCGCCUUGUCGCGUCCCUGCACAUUAGCACAUCACAUGUGCCAUUAUAAAAAUCACAAGCAUAAUUAAUAACUGGAACACAUAACACUCAUCCUUCAAACAUUCACAUGGAUCCCGAUUAUAAGGUAAAACCGUUAUGACAUAUCCCAUACCGUGCCACACAAUUUUGCCCCAUAAUCAAGCGCAAUAACACAACCAUUCAGGUGUGUUCCGAUUAUUACGACCCCUCGAGUCACGGUCAACACAAAAGUCGACAAUCAUCCGGCGUAACUAGGUAUCGUCCCGCCCCAUCGGGCAUGGCAUUAUCCCGUGUACUCAUACACAUCAGGACAGCAUUCCAUAAAGGAGCAUCAGUCCGACCUCAACCGCGACCGGCAUCCGUUGACGUGGGGUAUCCGAACUUAAUCAGGCAUUGUCCCGCAUAAUCAUACACAUCAGGAUGGGUUCAUUAACCCGCAUAUUCAUACGCAUCAAGGUAUUUAGGUGAUCACACGAGCACAUCAUCACUUAAUCCAUUGUUAUCUUCCUCUUUAGCCAAGAAUGCCAAGAUCUCUUUUCAAAAAUCAACUUGGCAACUCUUUUUUUGUUUUUCUUUAAAUCUUUUGGAAAUAAAUUCGUACGCGGUCACGUACUCAAAAUCAAUCCGUCAAACUUUGCACACUUCUACUAUAAAACCUCAUUGUUUUAUUGAGCAAACAACAUUUGGCGUCCAAACCCGACACCUCAUUUAUUUUCUAUUUUUCUUUUCCAACCACCCUCUUUUUGAAACUAAACUUGGGUAAUCCCUUCUUUUUUUCUUUAAAACUUUUGGAAAGAAAUUCGUAGGUGCUCUCGUACUCAAAAUUAAUCUACCAAACUUUGCAUGCACCUAGUUUCAAAUCUCAUUAUUUUGUUGAGCAAAUAAGUUUUGGUGUCCAAACCCGACGCCUCAUUGUUUUUCUAAUUAACAGCUUAUAAAGCCAUCUUUUGACAUAAAAAUCGGAACCAACAUAGAGUAACCAAUCUCAUAAAUAUCACGCAUAAAUUCUCAGCAUGCCAACAAUCAACCAAAUCACACAAAUAUACAUUUUUCAACAAGCAAGACACCCAAAACAACCACAAGACCACAACCAGCCCUGACCGGCACAAACGGAGUCCACUCGCAUGUCUCCAAGAUUAAUUCCGGAAACAUAACCAAACGAGUUUGGAAAAUUUUAAAAUUUAGAUAUGUUAUAAAGGACACUUAAAAGAACACUUUUUAUGAAGACACCUUAAUCCAUAUCUUCCUAAAAUAAGAGCAGUAAAUCGCUCAGACCAUUACCAAAACUGUGUCCGUGUCCAGAAAUUAUGUUUUCCAAAACUAGCUUGGUUCGAGGUCCAAAACUUGUCUGUUUACUCUGAAGUGUGACUAUGUUAAACUUCAAAAUGUGAUGAAAAACUUUUGUGAAGAAACUCUUUCAAAAAUCGAACAUUAAGAGUUGAUAAAAAUCAUUUCAACACCAAAAGGUCACUGGUUCCAGCACAAACCGAGAUUCUGCUUUGCUUGUAACGAAGCUGAAAACUAACAUCUUCAUGCUUGUUGGCAGAGUUUUAAAAUUUUAGCUUUAAUUAAAAAGAACCUUUCUGUUUGGUCCUCCGUCUUCAUCUAUGUGGCCACAUGCCCAUGACAUUAUCAAUACCCACUUCUUCCCGGGGGAGAAAGUCUUACAUAAAUUGGGUCUUUGUACCCCCAACAUCAUUUCAUAUUACCUAAAUAGUCCGGGAUAUGCACGGGAAUUGAAGGAUUAAUUUCGGUUAUUUUUCAAAAUUAAAAAAAAAAAUGUUAACACUACACUAAUUUUGUGCAAAUCUUUUAGUAAUUAUUUACAUAAGUAAAUAUUUCAAGGAUAAAUUUGGCAAACUUACGUGUUAAUUUCUAAAAAUAGACAUUUUAUUUCAUCAUUUCAAAAUUGUCUAGAUUAUGUAUUGAAAUAUUAUGGUGAAGAAAUUACAUUUCCAAACUUCAAAUUACUGUAAAUUCUUCUUAUCAAGGAAUAAAAAAUCUACCAUCAUGUCAAAUUUCUCAGAGAUCAUUCUAGACUUUUUUCUUGUGCAAUAUAAUUGUCAUACUAUUUGCUGUAGAAUUUUUCUUUAAUAUAUUAAUGUUCGUGAGUGAUUUCCAGUCUUAUAAAAAGAAGCAUUAUAUUUUCCCAGUUUGUAUAUAUUAUCGAGCAAACAAAUUGGUUUAGGUCUUGUGAAGUUUUAGGCUUUGUGCAUUUUAAAAAUAUAAGAAAUGAGGCAAUCUCUUUAAUGGUUAAAAAAAAAUCUGGUUGUCUAUAUAUUUGAUUUAUAAAUAUUUUCCAUUUUCUUCAUCACAUAAAUCUUUCAGAGAUUGAAUUCCAAAAAAGAAAAGUAUUGUAGACUCAUAUAGAAAUUGGUAAAAUUAAAAGUAUGAGGAUCAACGUUGUUGACAAUGUGUAGUUUUUACUCCAUUUAUAUUUAAAUAUUUCAUUCUCAAUCAUAGAAAUAUAAUGGGUAAGAAGAUGUGACAUAUAUUGAUAUUCUAAGAAUGGACAUGUUGUAUAACUAAUUUAUUAAAAAAUGAGUCAGCAACAGCUCAUCCACAAUAGUGGUUUUUUAAAGGUUAGAUGCUUUCAAAGCAUGGCUGUGUCAGCCACCAACUCAUGAUUCUAUAUCAAGUGCUAUGAAUAUUUUACUUUUCCUCUAAAGAAAAUAUUAUGAUGAAGCAAACCGGUUGAAUGGACGAUCAUGUGUUGCUCUGGAGAGCACCUAACCAUCUCUCUAUUUGUGCAUCAAUAAUGCCACUUUACUUAUAGUUUAGAGAUAUAAUCCACUAACAAAAUGCGUUUGAUUAGGGACACAAUUGUUGGUAAACUUGAUCUGUUGAUGAGAAAACAACUACGUGGAGGCACUUAUUUGCAUCUAAUAAGUAAGAAAUUAUUAACUGAAAUAAAUAUAUAUAUAUAGUAAACUCAAUUUGAAUCAUAGAAGUUGAAGAGAUUCGUAUGGAAUCCACUAUUUGUAAUGGGUCAAAUUCAAUUUAUUUUAUGCACUAAACGCACUAAAUAUUUUUUUUAUGAUAGCUAACCCCACCACUACUUCUCAAUGCAUACGACUAGUCAUUUUGAGAAUUCAACGGUUAAAAUUCCACUUGUGUAAACUCAAGCCCCAAAAUGUCAAUGUUUGAAAGGAUGGAUCUCACGUAAGACCCGUCUUAUCUAAUGUGUAUGUUCCAAUCAUCCGUAGUAAACUAGAUUCAUCCAAUAAAUUUAAGAAAUGAGGGAGAUGAUCAUAAUGGUGAAAAUGGGUUAGACUUUGAGUAGGAAAAUUGUCCAGAAAAUAACAAAUUCAGCCAUAAAUCUUUUAGUUGUACACAUUGAGUUGUAAACCUUUUGACAUUUGCCAAUUUAGUGAUAAACAUUUCUAUUGUGUCAAUUUAGUUCUAAACUUUUUAUUGAUUUUUCCAUUUAGUCCUAAACUUUUUCACGAUUUGUCAAUUUAGUCAUUCUAAUCAAUUUUGAUUGAAAAUCGUUGAUGUAAUCAUCUUGUUGGCACUGGGCCAUCCUACAUGGCACAACCAAUGCAGAUGUGGAUAAUUUUUGUAAAUUCUUUUAAAUUUUUUAUUUUUCUCAUUUUCUUUUCUUUUUUCAUUUUUUUUCCUUUUUCCCUUCGCCAGCCAUCACCAAGCAUCAUUGACACUGACGAAGGUCACUAGCCUUAGAUGAGGACCACCCUCACCUAGCCCUUAUCAACCUCAAACGAGAGCCUUGCCAAGGGCUGGCGUAGGCUGCCCUUCCACAACAGCUCAGGCAAUUGUCGAAGUCUGGCAAGGGCAACCGUCACCUCUGAGGCAAAUGAGGCUAGGCAAUGACUGAUAGGGGGAAAAAAGAAAAAAAAAAAAAAAGAAGUAAAAUAUUUAGAAGAUAAAAAAAAAAAAAUUACAAAAAUCGUCAAUGUCAAUGUCACAGUGCCUUGUUGAUGGCCAUAACUAACUAGGUAGUCAUGUAAGCACUUUUUAGCUAAAUUUGGUUGGAAUAACUAAUUUGAUCAAUUGUCAAAAGGAUUAUGACUAAAUUAACAAAUCGUUAAAAAAAUUACUAAAUUGACUCAAUUGAAAGGUUUAGAACUUAGUUAGCCACCGUACGAUAAGUUUUUGACUUAAUUGGACAAUUGAAAGGUUUUGGAUUAGAUUGGCUGCCGUACAAUAGGGUUAGGACAUUUCGAACAACUUGUCUGAUUUUUCGCCAUGUCCCUGAUCUCUCAAUCGUAAUGGGUGAUAAUCAGUUUUUUCUUUUGAUCAUGGAAUAAGACUGAGUUCUAAUUCAAAUCCCAUGAUCUUAUUUUAGAGGUGUAAGAGGAAUUUGUCCAGUGAAUACUGCAAAAAUUGACUUAGUAAAACGGAAGGUUCUGAAAUCUUAUUAGAAGUUCUAAACCAUGAAUUUCUUUUAAACAAUUCCAAGUCGAGUUUGAACGUUCUGAGUGUCUUAAUUUAUUUUCAAUUUUUUUGGCUUUGAUGCCCGGCUUCCUUCAGUCACGUUUCGGGCUAUAAUCUGGCUUUGGUAAUUGGAUUUGAGUUGAGCUGAGGUAGAUUGACACGUCCAAAUUUGAUUUCAUUAAUAGGAUGUGUGAAGUCCCGUUGAUGAUGACCACUGACCCCGAAGAGAGCGAGAAGCAGAGAUGUUUAGAAUUUUCUCUUCUUUUAAAGACGAAAGGCCUUCGCCCAUGAAUAACGAUUCGCGGUAGAAAUAAGACAUAAUUCCAGAGAUAAUUUGAAGACGAGCAAAGUGGCAGCCAAAAAAAACAGAGAGAACAAAGCGGCAGUUCAAAGUUUAAAUAGAAGGGAGUGUGUCAACUCGGGAUUUGUGGCGAAGUAAACACAAUUUAUUUGAAAUAAUUUAGAGAGUUUUGACUUAGUACGCUCUAUCAAGUUAAGUGAAAAACGGUCUUACCUGGUCAACCCCUAACAUUUUCAUUAUGAGCUUAAUCUCAACUUAUGCCCUUAUGGCAUGGGCCUUCUAGCUUGUUUCCUUCUCACACAUGGUGAUGCUCCAUUUGUCGAUUAUCUCCUAUUUAGCAGUAUGCACCAUGUUUGCUGAGUAAGUAAGUCACAUCAGCAAAAAAAAACAUGACAUGGCACAUUAUUUAACGAAAGGAACACAUUGAGCUACAUUUUGAAAAUCCCAAUACUCAACUAUACAAAACAAAAGUUGAGACACUCGAUCAUAAAAGAGACAAAAAUUUCAAGUAUUUGCAAUGUUAUUACCUCUAAAAAAUUAUCAUAGAGUGAAAUUUUUAUUUCCUUCCAAAUUGUUUCUUACAUUUACUUUCUAAUGUCAACAGGCUCCUAUUAAUUUAUCGACCAUUGUACUACAUAUUCAAGGAAACCAAAAGCAAAUUGAAAACAACGAAGAGUUGAAGACUACUGUGCUUGUGCUCACAAAGGUCGUGUGUUCUCUCGUGCCAAUAGUGAACCAUUCUUUCACAUGCAGCUUUCCCAACUGGAAGUUUCGUGUCGAGUAAGAGAACUCUCAUGGGAGAUAUUUGGCGAAACUCUCAAGCAGCACUUGUCCAUGCUUCUGCUACUCAAGGGCAACUGUCGCUGUGAUUCAGGCUCAUAGGCAAAAUUACAUAAGGUAUAUACGCAAAAGUAAUGUCAAGAGAGACACACUUUCAUGAAUUCAUGGAACAAUAAUAAAAGAAAGUUAACAGUAUAAAACAUGUCAUAAAGAACAUCAGGCACAGACACAACCAAGGUUGUUGCAUCUCCUAAUGAAAAUCUUCUACAUGUACUUCAAAAAGCUACAAACUAACAUGCUUCUCUUCCUAUUUAUUGCAGAGGAAAGGCCGCGAAUUAAAAUAGCCAAAUCACUCUCCAGGGAAACCUCUUUUAUCAUCUCCACAAGGCAAAAGAUAGGAGAUAAAUCUAUGUGACUAUUUUGUGAAGACUUCAUUGAAGGAGUAACCAUUAUAAUUUUUGGGUUGUGUGGAGCAAAGAAAGAAAUCACAAAGUCACACCUAUAUUCUGGCUUAUAAUCAUCUAUUAAGAAAGCUUAAAUGCGUAUCAGAUCACAACGUGACACUAACUACAGAAUAACAAGUCUAGACCUCUUGGAUAUCAAUCAUAUUCACAUGCACACAAAUGAGAGAACUACGUUUUAAAUUACAUAUGACAACAAUAGUUUCUAAUAGUAAAAAAUCACAACAUUUUUAACCAAAUGUCGAAACGGAGUUCUUCAAAGUUUAUACCUCUAUCCUUGAAACAAACUAGUUCCCGAAAAAAGACAAGAAUGAGGUAAUGCUUUGUAUUCAUAACAGCAAGAUGAAAAAUUCACUCGAGGACAAGGAGUGUUUCGAGUAGCAUUUUAGGUACCUAGUAAAACAUGAGGAGAAAAGUUUUAACCUGUUAAUGCAGACAUUUGGGAGAAAAUUAUCCAGUCUAUUUUGAGAUGAUGGUGGCAAAAGAACAUGAACAAUCUGACAAACACAAUGAUAUUUUCUCUUAAUUCAUGAGAACUUCAAAAUUUAACGCCAAGUGCAACUUCCAAUUGGGAAUAGUGUUAAACUUGGUGGCACAACCUGAAACCUCCAACAAGCAAGCUUAGUUCAAGUAUGGGUCAUUAGGAAGAUGAAUUAAAAUGCACCCUCAAAUCCAACUUCCAUCCAUAGGAAAAAGGAAUCCCACAAGGUAGUGCCAGUAUUUUACUGGCAGAGGUAUUGUGAAAUUCAUCUCAGCAUGAACAAGAUUGGUUCUCUAUUGUGGUCAGGAAGACUCGGGUAAUUAGGAGCCUGAGCCACAUCUUAGCAAGAUGUGAGAAAAUAGAUAGCACAAAAAUUAUCGAAUUAAACCUCACACAACACAAAUUCAUCCACAAGAAACCCAAAACCCAAAAAAAUAAAAGAGAAUUCUUAGGGAGACAGACCUUUUGGAUAGUGAAAACUGCAAAAUGAAGAGUUGACUAAUCCCUAUUAAAAGAAAUAGUUUCCACUUUUCAUGCAAUAGAUAAGCAAGCGUCGAUAACUGAGUCAAAUGUGCUAGUCCAUUGGGAUUUUAUUGUGCUUUUACAACUACGAGUUUCUAGCACUAACAUCUGCUCAACUUGAAUGAGACAAAGAACACGAGAGUACUAAUUUUGGCACCACAAGUAAACUAACCUCACUUGGUAUUGUCGAUUUGUUGAAGAGAUCCAGCAAAAUUGUGAGAGAACAUCAGGUGAAGUUGAAUUUCAUCUAGAGAUGAAGAAGCUUUUGUUAUAUCUCUCGUAUACCUAAUUAAGAGACAAAGAGGCUUUGAGAAUGUUAAUAGAGGGGUUGGGGAGAAGAGUUAAUGAGACCUUAUAGGAAAGGAACAACUUUCAAUUCCAAAUCAAAAAAGAGGCAAGGCAGGUACCUUUCUUUUGUUUGGGCGGGUUUCUUUUCUUUUACCAAGUGGUACUUCCUUCUUGCUAUAUGCCCCAAUUUUUGUCUCUCUGCUAGAGAAAGAUGGAAAGUAGCCACUUCCAAGGCCCCAAUUUCUCGCUUGACUUAAUUCUGUGGGGAUAUCUUAUGUAUGAUAGUUUCUUUUUGGGUAAAGGCCAUAAGCAAAGUGAUAAAUACUCACUUCUGAACAAAGAUCCCUGCAUGGAUUUCGAAAUUCUUGAACUCCUUUAACCUCCUAGACUACACUAAAGCUGACAAAAAACCACGGAUUCCACAUGAAUUCAUUGUCUAUCACGUGGACAUUAUAAGUAAGCCCAUAUAAAUUAAUGCUCGUGUGUAUGCUCCACUUUCAUCAACGCUUAACAUGAUGAGCAAUUUCAAGAUGCUUACAGGUUCAUUAUAGAAGAAAUAACCUCAUGCCCUUGGUACUGAUAAUCCCCACAAGAGCAAAUGCCACCCCUGAAGUGACCAAAGCGGCUGGAAUUUGUCACAACAAUCUCACAAUCAACAAUCUUUGCAAUAAGUCAAAUUGCAGAACGACAAUCCCCACAAACGUGAAGAUUCUCAUUACAGUUACCAUACCAUCCUCGACAGUACUAAUCAAUGCAAAUGGAACAGCAAGCCUUUCACUAUGGUAAGAUAAUGACUCUUCCUUCUGUUUGUCUUUAAUGUCAUGGAGAGAGAAUAUCUUAUCCGGAACAUAACCCAACUCCUUCAACUUCAUUUUUAGCCAAUCCAGCUUCCAAUAUAUGCUCUCACUCAAAGGACGGGAUUUAUCACUGGAAUGAAAUAAAUGCUUUUGCCCCUUUAUACUAACCCGACUGCUACUUGGUUGCUUCACAAUCCCUCUAUCCCUCAUAGUCACUCUUAAUCUCAAGAUAUCGCCCCAGUUAUUAGUAGAAGCAUAGAAGUUGAUAUUAAAACAUAAGUAGCACUACAAUGUGGUUGUAGGUCAAGAAUAUAGUUUGCAGUUUUUUUCUGCCAAAUCUAGGUUAGAAUGCAUCUUGCAAGAACUAAGCAAAGCAAGCCAUGCAAUGAAGUCAGUUUUAAGAGGCAUGUUUCUUACAAGAUCCUCCGAUUAGCACAUCCACCAUGCAAGCAUAAUGCUUGUGAAUGGAAGUGUUCUAACUAAAUUAUUUGAACAAGCAUCUCCCCUUUUGUAACAACCCAGAAUGACAACUGGAAGAAAGGAGUCCUGUGAGUGUGAUCUUAUCUGGUCCAGUCUACUUACCAUUUGGCUAAACAACUCCAUGACGCCACAUCCUUUGGCCAUCUUGUGCCCACCCACAAACAACGGCACUCCAGGUGAUGAUGUUCUUCUCCCUGAGUCUUUUGAACACUACAACAGCAUCAUCAACCACUCCACACUUAUUAUACAUGACUAUAAGAGAAUUGCCAACAAAAUCAUCACUUCCCAAUUUCAGCUUUUCAGUUGACGCAUGGACCUCCUUACCUCAAUCUGAGACUCUAAACUAUAGUGAGAAUUUAAAGCACUUACAAAAGAAGAUUGAUCAGGAAGAACACUUGUUCUCAUCCUAUCACUGAACACCUUUAGGCCAUCUUCAUGCCUACUCUUAAAACAUAACCAGUUAGAAGAGUAGUGCAUAUGACCACAUUCCCACACGCCGCUUCAUUAAAGACUUGGGUUGCUUUCUCAAUUUGCUUGCAGUUAGCAUAGAACAUGAAGAGAGAAGCACAUACAAAUCCAUUAAGGUAGCCUCCCAACUUCGAAAAUAUGGCCAUGAAUCCGCACACCAAGAUGGAAAAGACAACACAUUUGCACAGGCACUCAAUGCAUACUUGGUUAAACAGCAGACUUGAACAUUCUCUCAAUAACAAUUAAAGCUUCUUCACUCUUGACAUUUUGGUCAAGCCCAGCAAUCAUUGAAGUCCAUGAAAUCACAUUUUGAGAAGGCAUUUUCUCAAACAACUUCACAGCAUUGUCCACCCUCCCAUCUUCACGAUACCCAUGAAGCAUCGCAUUCCAUGCAGCGAGAUCUCUUAUGGGCAUCUCCUCGGAAAAAUCUCUUUGCCCGCUCAACUUGUCCAAAUCGAAAAGAACCCAUCUAUCACCGCCGUCCAUGAAACAACACUAGGUUCGGGCAUUUCAUCGAAAAGCUCUUCCACCGUCAUCAAGUCCCCGCAAUCUCGGCAGCCUUUGAUCAUAAUAUUCCAGCAAAUUGCAUCUCUGACGGGCAUUUCGUUGAACAGUUUCGAGGCGUCGCCAAGGCAGCCAGCUUGAACGCAACCCACGAUCAUCUUCUUGAACGAACGAACAUCUGGGCAUUGGAAAUAUGUCCAGAACCUCCCGAGUUUCAUCUGGCUUUCCGUCCUCAAGGUGUGUAGAGACCGCGGGAUUGUCACGAGUUGCAUGACUCGCCCGUUUAAAGAAGAAGGGAAUGAAUGUGCACAGGAGCAUCUGAGAAUUGGAAAGAUGGCGCGAGAUCUGAUCUUUUGAAGCUAUGGUACAAUCAAGGCCGAUAUAAUGAAGGCAUUUAAUUCAAUAAAUUGAGAUUUUUUUGCUUGCUGUUUGAGGAGCAUGAAUGUGACGGUGCAAUUUGUUAUGUUGAGUAAAGAUUGUAUCAAUACUACUCAUUCUCUCUCUUAGUUUUUUUUUUGGUCGGUAUUCUCUCUCUUAGUUCGAUUAGUGGCCUGGAGAGCUUCUUCAAAAGCUUCUUGGACGUUUUGAAUUUGAUAAUUUUAUAAAAAUAUAACUGAACGGUGAAUCUUUUUAGAUUUCAGCAAAUCCAUUAGAAAUUUAUAUAUCUUGUUUCGAUAUAUAUUUAAAUAUGUAUUUUUUUCUAGAUAAUGAGAUGAUGUCUUUUUUUUUUUUUUUGUAUAUAAUGAAUCUUUAUGUUAUUUUGCCUUAAAGCAAUUUUUAAUAUUGCAAUUGAAUCUUGAUAAAAUAGAGUUGAUCUUUUGUUGGAUAUCAAGAUGGAUACAGUGCUGAGUUUCUUCCAUUGAGUGGUUUUAAAUGUUGAAUGUUGCCUAUCGAGGGUUGGGGGUUCUUCCUUUUAUCGCUAGUGGACAGAAGAGUCUUUUCUCUUGGAAUACAGCGUGCACGCUCAAGAGGAUGUGGCGUUGGCAAGGCACGACGCAGCCCACUUGGGCCAGAAACAGGAUCGCACCUAGGCGCGGCCUGCUAGGUAGCAGAUCGUGCAACAUUUUGGGCUUAGGCUGAGUUAGGCCCAUGGUCUCCAAUGGGCUGGCCUUGGCCCAAUUUUCUUUUCCGAUCCAGCCUUGAAGGCCAAAUCCAUUAAUGGGGCCCUACCAUCCCCAAAAAUCAUGUCAGUGACCAAUUCGGCCAAACAGCCGACCGUUGGACCAUAAUUUAAAAAUUAUAUGUAUAUGUAAGUGAUCGUUCAGUCACUAUUGAUCACCAAUUAGUAAUCAUUUGACCACAUUUACUCUCAUUUUUCAAUCUUUACUCAAAUAUUAAUUUCAAACGCUCUUUGUCUCUACCACCGUUUGUUAAUUUCGUUUAUUUCCUUCGCCUUACAAGGAUUUAAUUGCUUUCUAAGUAUUAUAGUGGAGAACAAAAACAACAAUAGUAAUAACUGUGUCAGAUAAUUCCCAUCAAUCCUAACUUCACCUUACAAUAACUAUGGAACUCAUUCGAAGAAUAUCGCGAUAACAAUGUAUACAUGCCAGCUCUGCCUCCGUAACCAAUCAAAUUUGACUAAGGCAAGACACAACUACUCGUCGACUAUAAGAAAUUGUAGGGAUGAACGCCCAAAGCUAGUCCCCGCCAAGCCUCUUCCCCAAAUGAUUCCCCUACCCUUAAAAAGCCCCAAGCAACUGUGGCCAAGCUUUACAAAGAAAACAUAUCUAGAGGAAUUUCCAGCUCAAGAUGAAUGUCAAUCGUAACAAAAAGGCCAUUUGAAAGGAAAAAAAAUAUAUUAAAAGGGUCAUAAAUUUCGUAUGACGCUCACUUUAAUAUGAUUAUUUUACAAUCGAUCACCUGAGUGUUAUAGCUUUCAUACUACUUUCACUUGAAUGUUAUGAAUCACUUGAGUAUUGUAACUUCUAAAAAACAUUCACGAACUCUCAAACGAAGGAUUUUUCUAAUAUUUGAAAGCAAUGGCAUUUUAAUUUUUUUUUUAAAAGCUAAACUAUUUGUGCUCAGGGCAGGCACAGCCCGGUGCUCAGCCCUAUAUGUUAUGCGCUGAUGAAGUCGGUCUCUUCGUGGAUUGCUUGGGUUCAAAACUAAACUAACGCAAUCCUAGACUCCUGUAUAUGGGUAGUCAAAGAAAAAACAGACAAAACAUUUGUUUGGAUGAAAAUACCUAAUGUGAGAAGCUUGUUGAUGCCAUGAGUUAAAUAUGUGAAAGGGUAUCGGGCAAAAUACAACCUUUAUGGUUCGACAAUUGAUAUUCCCAUGGUGCUCUUGGACACAAAUAUCCAGUUUGAGUGAUAUAUAUGAUUCAGGUUUAGGUCUCCACGGCAAAGUUGCUUAUGUGAUUGAAGGAGGGAAUGGAGGUGACUUGUAGCAAGCUCUGAGCAUAGAGGCUUUAGGUAGUCGCAUUUCCCAAAUCAAAGUAUAGAAGAUGGAGCUGUUUUCAAUAGAUCUGCAAGUAGUGGUUUUUAGUCAAGAUGAGGUCUCGGAACUUGUUGGUAAUAGAGAGGCUUGACAAUGACUUGGCAUCGAUGGCGUGGUUUCAUCCCAAGGUCCCCACAUUUUCUUUGGUCAACUGGAGGUUAUGUUCAAUAGGUUAUAAACACUUUGAUAGGAUGAGCAAAUAUGUAAUGUGAUAUCUAAUUAUGGUUGUGUAAUGAGAGUCAUGAAUUGAGGGCUCAUAUAUUUUCCCCUUGUCCCUUCUCGAAGGAAGUUUGGCAGCAUGUAUCCCAGAAUAGGUGUGUAUGGUGAACUAGCUAGAAUGCCGCGAUAUAUUAGUAAGCUUGAUCUAUACCACAGAUGGAGUAUUCAUUUUUGUUGCUGGCAGGAAAUGUUCAUUGUUAGUUGCUGCUAGUGUUCUUUGUGGAUUUUAGGGCGAGUACUUUUUCUUAUAGCUGAGAUUUUGUUUUUUAGUGACUGAACGGUACAUCUUAUGAGUUUUUUUUUUUUUUUUGAGUUACCUUAUAGCGGAAAUUAGUGAAUCUCUUUUUUAACAUUUGAUGAUAUUUACUUAUCAGAAGAAAGAAGGUGCUGAUUAUAAUAAAAUAAGAUUCGAUAGAUGAAAAUAUAAGAUAAAUGAAGGGCAAAGUUGAAAUAUGCGGAUGGCAAUAUGGGGAAGUUAAAAGAAACAUGUAAGUAGUUCUUACAAAGUACCACAUGUUAGCUAAUGAUGAAUUCUCAAAUGAGUACUACCUUAUUUACAUUAGAUUAAACACUUGGACACCAUGCCUCAGUUUUCAUAAGUAUUUAGACAUUAUUUAGCGAAUCUUUACUCUAAUAGCAAUUGAGUACAAAUUUUUAAAUGCUCUUUAGUGACAUAACUUGGCUAUGUUAAGCAAUUUAGAAUAAUCAACUGCCUCGAUAAUCUUAGUAUUUAUGAUAAAAAAUUUCUAGUUUUCUUGCAUCUCUCCAAGAAAGUUUGACAAUCACAUAGUUAAAUUCUACACUCUAGAGAUCCUUCUAUAGUCGCCAAUAUCCUUUAUACCAACUUCAUCAAUACUAAUAUGUAAAUAAAUAACAAAUUUGACGUCGAAUUAAAGUUUUUGCAUCAUGAUUCAUGAUUAGCACAUGACCUACUUAAAGUGAUGAGUCAUGAUAUUUUUCGGUCAACAGUUAAGAUUAUACAUGUUUUGUGACUGCAGUGACCACAUUUACCAAUUAUAGUAUCAUGGCACAGCAAUAAAGAUGUGAAAUCAACCUCUAUCAUUAUCUAAAACAUAACAAUCUCCAUGAACACAACAAAGAUUCACAUAAGUCAUUUCAAUCGGAAAGGGAUAGAAAUGUGAAAUCUCAAAUAUCAACUCUCUGCUUCGUCGGAGUCGAUCCCUCUCGCUGGUAGAGACAUCCUCUUCCGAUUCUAUGGAAGUUUUCACCACAAAUCCACACUCUCUCGGUAAGAAUCCAGUCCUCUGAAUGUAGCUUUCUCUCCACUUGCUCUGGAUACCCACCUUCGAAUGUAGCUCCACCCCUACGCCAUGAACACCCAUUUACCAAACCCUAAACCCCCUUUUAACCCCCCCUUCGGAUGGAUUUCCUCCCCUGGCUGGGCCUCAAUGGCGAUGAGAAAUUAUCCACAACAUUCGACCCCUUCAUAGGCAACCUAAAUCGAUUCCGUUGAUACAAUCCCUAAUCCCCCUUCUGCGAGAUCUCCAUAGUGCUGAAGCAAACAACUACAGACUUCGUAUUCUACCAUAAAUCCUUCAGAGCUCCCUUCAAUCUUCUCCCCCCCAAAAAACCAUAAACCUCAACCAGUUGAAAAAGCUUGUAAUCGGCUGCCGAUAUGGACCUUCAGGAUGAGAACCAAAGUCGCCUUGCUGCCCUGUGCAAAAGUUUAGGCAAUUUAUGGUCAGAAGGUGACGUGGUCGAAGUGCAACAGGAAAUCCCUCCCAACAAACGAAUUGAAUGUAGCCAUACUCUCUUCGGUAAGCUAUACUCGAAACCCAAUGUGAACUUUCCAGCAUUCACUACCACUAUGAAGAAGGCGUGGAAAGUAGAGGCUGUUGUGUUUAUACAAAAAGAACUGGGGUUUUUUUUCCUUUGUAUUCGAUUCAGAGGAAGACAAGGAGAGAGUUCUGAAGUCUGCACCAUGGUCCCUUAAUAGCAACCUCUUAGUGUUAAAGCAAUGUGAGCCAAAAAUCCCAGAACACUGCUAUGAUUUUUCUAAAUCAGAUUUUUGGGUGCGUAUUGUUGGUUUACCCCUGGGAUGGCUUAUAGAAGAAGUCUUUGCUGAAGUUGCUGGAAAAGUAGGAGUAGUCAAGGAAAUACAACUAGAAUCUAGAGGAAUCGGUCCCUACAAAACAGGUAAAGUCAAAGUGGAGCUGGAACUUUCAGCCCCUCUCAAAACAGGGGCGUUAGUGAAGAUCGGGAACAGGAAUCUAUGGGUGGAAUUCAAAUAUGAAUGUCUCCCUCACUUUUGCUACUCAUGUGGUCGAAUCGGGCACUAUGCAUCAUAUUGCGAGGAGAUACCAUAUGAGACAACAAAUUGGGCAGCUAACAAGGUUGGUCAGUAUGGACCUUGGCUCAAAGCAGAAGUAAGAGAUUGUAGCCCACACUGGGGAGUAUUUUACGGUAAGAAUGCUCCAAAUCAGGAAGAAGAAGAAUCAGUCCCUGAAACGCCCCUAAUGACAGUUAAUAUGGAGGUUGCUACUGGCACAGAAGCUGAAACUAAUACAAACCCUCGGAACAAAAAAAGGGUUGAUAGCCCAUCAUCAAAGGAAGGCAGAGAGGAAAGAGACAAAAACACAGUAGUAAAAGAGGGGUGUGGAAAACAAAUACUGUCCCUAGAAGGCCCAUCAAAAUCUACAGGAGGAGAAGUUAAGAAAAUGCUGAAGUACCAACAAGCGAAAAAACAGAAAAGAGUUGAAUUCACCAGCUCCGACGUUCUUGAUGAUAUGGAGCUAUUACAGACCCCCGUACAGCUGGUCAAGGAGGGGAAAGACUGGGCUUUGGUGGCUAGCCUAAUAAGCCAUCCAAGACGCCAUGAAGAUCCUCAGCUGGAACUGUCAGGGGCUGGGCAACCCCCUAACAGUCCAGGAAAUUAGAGCUUUAACAGCUCAAGAACGGCCCAAUUUGGUCUUCUUGAUGGAGACCAAAAACAAGGAGACGGUGGUAGAAAAGACUAAAAGAAAGAUACAGUUUUAGCACAUGUUUCUAGAGCAACCAAUUGGCAUAGCAGGCGGUUUGGUGCUUAUGUGGAAUGAGGAGGCGGAAGUUAAAAUAAUUUCAAGUUCGAAAGAAUAUAUAGAUGUGGAAUGCAAGGAUCCUUCAAGUGGCCAUAUCAUGGAAGUUACCUUCAUACAUGCUCCCACAACUCUUUCAGAGAGACUUUUAUUAUGGCAAAAAUUACGGGAGUUGCACUCCGACAACCAUCACCCAUGGCUCUGUGUGGGGGACUUUAAUGAAAUCCUAUAUAGUUGGGAGAAGGUAGGAAAGAGGGAAGCGGAUCAACAUCGGAUUGCAGCCUUUCGGGAAUUACUGAAUGAUUGUUCUUUAAUGGACAUUGAUACAAAAGGGUGUGCUUUCACGUGGGCAAAUAAUAGAGAUGGUGAAAAAUUAGUGAAAAAGAGGCUAGACAGAGCAUUAUGCUCAAUGGAAUGGAGAAUUACCUUCCCAAAUGCUGAAGUGGUGGCUCUCCCAGCAGUUGGCUCAGACCACAGCCCACUUUUAUUGUCUUUACAUCCUGUCCGAGAGAAAAGGAGGAAGCAAUUUAAAUUUGAAGCCUACUGGAUGGAGGAAGAAGAGUGUGGGGAAAUUAUUAAACGUUGUUGGGAAGGUGACCAGCACUAUCAAACGAACUUCGCUCAGAAAAUACAGCAUGUUACAAAGGAAUUGACAGCAUGGAGUGAAACUAAAUUCUCUAAUGCCUCUCUCCAAAUUAAAAAGGCUCAAAAAGAAACUCAUGGAUAUCACCAAUGGGAACACUGAAUUUUCCAGCAAAGAGGAAUGCCAAGAAAUCAAAGAAAAUAUUGAGCGGCUAUGGCAUCGGGAGGAGUUGUAUUGGGGUAUGAGGUCUCGUAUAAAUUGGCUGCGUUGGGGAGAUAGGAACUCAAAAUACUUCCACGCCACCACUGUCCAACGAAGACAAAGAAACAGAAUCUCUAUGCUGCGCCUUAAUGAAGACACCUGGUGUAGGGACCAAACAACAUUGAAACAGCACAUUGAAGAGUUCUACUGCUCCUUAUACGAAUCAGAGGGUCCCAGAGAGUUUCAGCCUAUUCUAGACAUGUGUCCAACGGUCAUUAACGCACAAAUGAAUGAGAGCCUCCUCACCCCAAUCUCUAUGGAAGAGGUAAAAGAAGCAGUUUUUCAGCUGGGAUCAUUAAAAGCUCCGGGCCUAGAUGGUCUGAAUGGACAAUUUUACCAACAUCAUUGGGAGGAAAUCAAGAUAGAUGUGCUGAAUAUGGUCAUAAACUUCUUUGAAUCAGGUGAGUUCGAUCCCCAACUUAAUAAGACUUACAUAACCCUCAUUCCCAAAGUCAAAACCCCAGAAAGUAUUUGUCAGUUCAGGCCAAUUAGUCUAUGCAACUUCAGCUACAAAAUCAUCUCAAAGGUCUUAGCAAACAGAUUGAAACCAUGGCUUGAUGAGAUAAUAGCCAAUGAACAAAGCGCAUUUGUUAAAGGAAGACAAAUACAAGAUAACAUUUUUAUAGUUCAAGAAGUGUUGCACCAGCUGCGAAUCAGAGAAAGAAAGAAGAAAUCCAAGAAGUUCUCAAACUGGAUAUGAAAAAAGGCCUAUGAUAGGGUGGAAUGGGAUUUCUUAAAAAUGAGUAUGCUGCAAAUGGGGUUUAGUGCAAGAUGGGUUGAGCUGGUAAUGAUAUGUGUUUCUACGAUGACAUUCAGUGUCAAGGUGAAUGGUGAUCAAACCCAGUUUUUUACACCCACACGGGGCUUAAGACAAGGAGAUCCAUUGUCGCCCUACCUAUUCAUCUUAAUGGCUAAUGUUUUCUCCUGGAUGAUGCACAAAGCAAUUGAAGAUGGGAGAAUAAGACUAAAUAGGUAUUGUCCUACAUUGUCUCACCUCCUAUUUGCCGAUGAUGCAAUAAUUUUUAUGGAUGGGACAGUGAGAGAAUGCCAAAAUUUGUCAAAUCUCCUGAACCAAUAUUGUUAUGCUACUGGUCAAGCUAUCAAUCUAAACAAAUCAGGAGUGUUUUUCAGCAAGGGUUGCCCCGCAUCCUUAAAAAGUAAUAUGGCCUAUGAGUUGCGAGUACCUAUUAUUGACAAAACAGGGAAAUACCUGGGAAUUCCAUCUGAUUGGGGACAAACAAAAAAGGAGAUGUUUUCAUGGAUUCUGGCGAGGGUAAACAUGAAGCUGGAAGGUUGAAAAGAAAAGCUAUUAUCUAAAGCUGGCAAAGAAAUAUUGAUAAAAGCUGUGGUACAGGCUCUUCCUCAAUAUGCUAUGUCAAUUUUUAAAAUUCCCAUCUCAGUUUGUAAAGCCAUAGAACAACGAAUAGCAGCUUUCUGGUGGAAACAAAAUGAGUCCAAGAGAGGAAUGCACUGGAAGAAAUGGGAAAUUUUGAAACGCAAGAAAGAUGAAGGGGGUCUUGGGUUCAAAGACCUAAUUAUAUUCAACAAGGCAAUGUUAGCCAAACAAGCCUGGAGACUUUCACAAUCACCCUCAGCUCUAUGGGGCCAAAUCCUGAAAGGAAUAUACUAUCCAAAUGGAGACCUAUGGCAAGCACAUAUAGGACAAAGACCUUCUUGGGGGUGGCGCAGUCUUCUCAUUGGCCGAGACACUUUAGAACCAGAGGUGAGAUGGAUAGUGGGAGAUGGACACAACAUUAACAUAUGGAGAGACAGAUGGCUUCCAAGAGGCGUGAUAGGAGGACCGAAAAACAAGGAUGAUCCUGAGAUAGUAGCUGAACUAAUGAGCGCAGAAAGGAGACUAUGGGAGGAUUCUAAAGUUCAAACGCUCUUUGAUGAACAAAUUGCUCGAGAAAUUCUUGCAACUCCACUCAGUGCUCAAUCACAACCAGAUAAACUCAUAUGGACAGGGAAUCAUUCAGGGACGUACACAGUUAAAAGCGGCUAUAACAGAGUGCGCUCAACAACCAAUCAUCCCGACCCCAACAGUGCAACAACCUCCUAUCAGCCACCUAGAUCCCUCUGGAUCAAACUAUGGGACAUGCCAAUUCCCCCCAAAAUAAAAUUCUUUCUCUGGAGCAUAUGCCAAAAUACACUCCCUACUAAGGAAAACCUCUACAAAAGGUGCAUAUUACCUGAUCCCCUUUGUCCACUCUGUCUCCACCACCCAGAAACAGCAGAACACCUGUUCUUCUUGUGCAAAAAGACAAGGAAAAUAUGGCUGGACCCGCGCCUUAACCUAUAUGACAAAACAAGUUCAGUGACAUGCAUAGACAAGUGGUUUGCAGAGUUCUUGAAUGCAAAAACAGAGGUACCUUCGGCAGAUCUGGUGGCAAGCACGAUCUGGUUGAUAUGGAAACUCAUAAACGACUACAUCUUCAAAUCUCGAGCUCCCAAGACUGAAUCAAUUGUAGAUCUUUCCCACACACAGACCCGAGCCUUCCUCAGAUGGAACCGCAAGAAAGUCAAGCAGAAAUCCAGCAAAUCAGCCGCAACAGAGCACUGGACGGCUCCGAACAGCACCAGCUUCAAGCUGAAUGUCAACUGCUCGUGGAAGGAUGGAGAAGAUCUAGGUUCGGUCACAGGGCUCAUCCGGGACUCGAAUGGAUUAUUGAUCGACGGAUUUGUAGCUGAAAUUCGAGCGGCCUCUCCUCUGCACGCCGAAACCCUAGCACUCCUGCAGGCGUUAAACUCUCUAAACCAACGAACAGAAAGUCAAGUGGGGGCUGUUCAGUUCGAAGACAAAGAUGGGAAGUACAGUGCGACAAUAAUGCACUCGUGGAGGCCAGCUUGGGCCGGGCUGAUGCACCUUGGGCUAUUAUGCAUUUAGUGAACGAAAUCAGAGAGCUCCUUCAGAAGAUGUCAUUCGUCACUCUCGCCUACUGCUCCCGAGACGCAAACCAGGCAGCUGAUUGGACCGCCAAGGCGCAUCGCCGUAAGACUUUACCUACAAAUUGGUUAAAUGCGCCACCUCAACCCCUUCUGAAUAUUUUAUGUUCUGAAGUCUAUUUACCGUCUACUUGUAAUCCGUGUUUUAACUGAAAGUAAGUCUUAUUUUCGACCAAAAAAAAAAAAAAAACAAAGAUUCACAUGUGUAAAAUCUGCUGCGACAAGUGAAAAACAUAAGAGGGCAAAUAAGCUUGGCCAGCCGAAAGCACCAACCACCAAAAAGGUUUAUGGUAAAAAGUGUACUUUACAAAGCAGCUCUAACAUACGGUCCCAAGAAUCAAGCUGGCCUAGAUCAGAAUCGCUUCAACCGGUCAUAGCAAUCAAGCUAACUCAGACCACAAAUUGCGCCAAGCAAGAAGAAUGCUUUGAUUAUGCUAAAAGAGCGAAAAUCUCUAUCUCGAGAGAAUAAGUAGAUUAGUCACCCAUUAAUUGCCAACUUAAAAAACUUCAGCCCAUGCUAUACUGAACUGUACGUAGAUUAGUCACCCCUCAGAAAACCAAAUAACAUAAGAAAGAGGCUAUGAUUUAACGUCACUUAUCAUUUGCGAAAUCCUCUUCUGCUUGAAUUGUGGUGAAGAUAAAGGAAAUCCCGUGAAAGAGAGCGAAAUGAAAUAUUGAGAACCGGGGGCGAUAUUGCUUGGAGAUUAUAAGCCGACCCUUCUUCGUAAAUGUUGAGUGCCAUGCUCCAUUACUAUAUGCAGAAGGGAACAAUAUAGCAUUCGGAGAGAGACCUAUUGGUGCUUUAAUUUUUUUUUUCCUAUUCUUUUUAAACCGAUGCUAAGAAAAGCUGUUAAUUAAAUAGGCUGAACUAACGAUAUGUUGGGAAUUGGGAUUGGGCCCUAAGGCCCACUUAUUCGCCUGCUCAGGCUUGCCCGAAACUUUGGACUUGGGAGAUUCCUCUUCUUUUUUCCCCUGAACGGUGGUUGAAUCUUUCGUUCGAUCUGAGAUCCAACUUGCUAAUCGACCCGCUUCUUUUAUUUGGUUGUAUGAUGAUAUUUACUUACCAGAAAAAUGACGAUACUAAAUGUAAUAACAUUAAUAUAUAGAAUAAGAGAUUAAUGAAAGGUAAAGCUCAAAUAUGUGGAUGGUAAUAUUGAAAUGUUGAAAGGAAGACAUAUGUUGUUCUUAUAAAGUUCUGCAUUUCCAAUUACGACGAACAAGGAAAAAUUGUUGAAAAAAUCUUAAAUUUAUUGCAUUUUUGUCAAUUUAAUUAUAAAUCUUCCAAUUUUGUCAAUUGAAUCUUAAACAUUUUCACAUUUUACCAAUUGAGUCCAUUUGGCUAAUUUUGAUUGGAAUUCGCUGAUAUGAACGUUGGCCGUUCUAUAUGGUAUUAGCGGUAUUGACGUGCACAAUUUGAAUAACAUUUUAAUAUAUUUCUUUUAAUUUUUUUAAAAUUAUUUUAAUUUUAAUAUUUAUUUAUUUAUUUAUUUGUUUUUCACUAUGGCCAUCAAGUUCUUAGACCUCCCUUAGCCGGGCUUCAAAUUUCUCCAUUCUUGUCUUCUGUCAGCAAAAAGUGACCCGCUACUAAGGAAGAAUUCUAUACCUGCGCCACUAAAAGUCAAUCGAUGUACAGGGGACUCUGGACCUUCAGCAUGUUCGUCUCUCCUGCCACGACAGUGCAAAGGACGAUAUUCCCCAUCAUUGAGAAAGAGAGUGAAGAAGGAGAAAAAGAGUCGGGCCUUCACAUCUCAAAGAAUGGCUAAAAUCACAACACCACUGAUUAAGCCCCAAGGCCAGAUUGCUAUGGAGUAAGGAUCAAUGAAUAUUACGUUGGCCAAGUCGUCUAAAUACUCCUAACUGCCGCCAGAAUAUGCCUCGAUAUGGCCAUGUUCAAAGAAACUAUGGCCACCAUAUAGAUGAUUGCGAUGAACUAGGCAAUGAAAUUGGACAAUUGAUCCAAAGAGGGCACCUUACUAAGUACGCCAAGAUGGAGGAGAAGGUGUGGGCUAAUCCUUUCUGGAGAAGAAGUCGACAUGGAGGAAGAGAAGCAGAAAGUUAGUUUUCGACAUGGAGGAAGAGAAGCAGAAAGUUAGACCCAAACUGUCCACCAGCAAAACAUGUCUGUCACACUGUCACAGAGUGUCCAACUAAGUAAGCGCUAGAACCCUCCUAAUAAUGCACAAGUAUCUGUCCAACCUUGAGAAGUAUUAGAAACUAUAAGCUGUGGCCUUUCUCUAGAUGGCAUGGUCCGUUGAUAGAUGAGUACAUUUCAUCUCCGAAGGUUCCAUAGAUGAAAGGCAUCAUUCUUCCUUUUUUUUCAGGUAUCUUCUUUUAACACGCCAAACAAGGAGAGCAAUGCUAGGCAAUAGGGCCAAUAGUGAUGAGGAUGUCAAUCAUUUAAUGAGAGAAUGUGAUUUGUAAGUUAAAAGCCACUCCAAAUGAUCAACACCUUGUGUGGUUAUUUCGAGUACUCAUGUUGGUGGCCUAGCCUAUGGAACUAGGUUGGAUGGUCACAAUAACUUGACAUCGCAUAUUGUGAAAGGAAAAAACUUGAGGGCCUUUAUAGAAAAUUCGUUAACUUUUCACAAUUAGUCAACCUUGAUUUUGCUCAAAAUCGUAACCUUAAACUAAAAUAUCAUAUACAGGUUUAUAAAACCACAUAUAAAUGAGAUUGCAAAAACAUUGAUUAAUCAAGAAAAAUUUCUAUUUGUCUCAAAUUGAUUCUUUAAAAAUAAUUCUAAGCACUAGACAAAUAUUCAAGCUUAUGUGCUCUUUGCAGACCUAGGUCCUCGUAUAAUCCUUUCACAAAAGAUGUUCUAAAAGUAGCACUCUUACUAAUGUCACUAAACACAAAUUGAAAUGAAUCAAUUGGCUUACUACUAAAGUUUAAUGAAGUUCCAAAGAUCCUUAAAGGCAUUCAACUCUCAAAUGGAAAACUAAAUACUGUUAUCAAAUUUUGAUAACAUCAAAAUCUCAAUUUCUUUGAGUCUGACCACAUAAGAAUCUCUCCGUACCUCGGAUACAAGAGCAUAAUAUUUGUAAAAUUGCAAUAAUGUUGAAUAUGAUCAAAUGUCCAUCAACCUUAAUAUGUGCCUCAAGUACAUGCACAUAAUACAAAAUGAAUUCAUGCCUUGCAAGUCUAAGCAUUUCACGAAAGAGAUAUCACAUGCAUACCACUAAGCUUAUUCACUUACACUUAGUAACAAGAUGUAGUAGAAAAACUGUGUAUGACGAGCUCACAUACUUGUUAGGCCGUGAAGAUGCCACAACUUUAGCAAAGAAUUUAUUUUAUAAAAUUCUGUCUUAUAUUAUCAAAAUUAUUUAAGUCCUUCAUAUUUCAAUUAAACAUUUCAAAGGAGACAAUCGAACAAAACCUUUAAGAGUUAAUGGUGUUUUUUUUUUUUUUUUACAAACUCAUCUUUAGGUCGUGAGGUGGAGAAGGCAACAAACAAGUAAGGCGUCUCACUGCAUUGCUCAAAUCCCCAACGUAUAAAAUACAAUAAUGCUCUCUUGGAUGUGAUUGGCGAAAAAUACAAAAAAAUCUCCAACCUAUCAUAUUUGUGCCAAUUCAAUUUUAAAUCUUUUAAUUUGACCAAAUUAGUGUUAAACUUUUUUAUAUUGAUACCAAUUCAGUCUAUCUAAUCAAUUUAGGCUAGAACUUGCUACACGGAUAUCAACCACACUAUAUGGCAUAGCUAACGCUAACAUAGACAUAUUUUUAAUUUUUAAAUAUUUUUUCGAUUUUUGUAUUAAUUUUUUUAAAUUCUUUUUUUUUCCCUUCUCUUUUCUAUGGCUUGGGAUACAAGGCCAUGGCCAACAACUAGCCACAAGUAAGGGUUGGUAAAGGCAUUGCUGCCCUGGCUGAGACCACGAGGGUCUAGCCCUCGCUGGCACUCGUUUGUGGCUGGUAGGGAAGAGGAGGGGAAAAAGAAAGGAAAAAGGGAAAAAAUUAUAAAAAAAUUAUAAAAAAAUUCAAAAAAAAUUUAAAAAAUUAUUUAUGCCAUCGUCAAUCGUGCCACAUAGGAUUGCCAACAUUCACAUUAGCAAUUUCGGGUCAAAAUUGGCUAAAUAGAUUGAAUUGAUACUAAUGUGAAAUGAUUUAUGACUAAAUUGAUUUAACUAAAAGGUUUAUGACUAAAUUGAUAUCAAUAUAAUAGGUUGUGACUUUUUUUGUUCUUUUCCUGAUGUAAUCAUAUACCAUGAGAUGAUAAACAUCCCAUUAAAAAAAAAUGAUUUUUGAGUGCCGCAUGAGUCUCAAUUAGUGAAUCUACUUUGGUGAUCAAACACACACAUCACCAUGUGUAAGUAUUCUCAAAACUGGGAUGUAAAGGAUAGUCCACAAUUACCUGAGCAAUUCUGCGGAUCUCAAUAUGUGAAGCAUUGUGGUGCUCAAGCACACAUUGAAUCAUGUGAAAUUUCCAAAUAAAAAUGCUCAAAUAACAUAUGAAAAUUUUUUGUGACAUCACAAGUAAGUCACUUGGGUAACCAAAUCAUUCAUGUUACGAGAUGAGAUUUCUUGUCUCUUCAUCUAAGUUGAAACAAAGACGUAAAAUAACAUGGUCCUUAAAAAAUCUCAUCGUGCUAGUUCGAAGAAUAAAUUUUUUAUGGUAGCAUACUUAAAAAAUGACCCCCAAAUAUUGUACUUAAAAGAUAAAUAUUUUCAAAGAACAAAAUAUUUUUUUUUCAAAAGUAUCUAGUUUCUCAUAUCAAGGUAAUUUCGCAGCACCUGACUUUUAGAAAAUUAUGCCUGAAUACAGUUUAUCUCGAUUUUUCUAAGCGAAAAUGUACCAAGACUGCCUAUAAAGAAACAAGGUAUAGCAUGUGGAGCAUAAUUGAAAAAACCGCACUGAAAACAGAGCCCAACAGUCAUGUCACGGGCCCACCCGCACUUCUUUUGCGCGUGGGGUUUGCUAUGAUGGGCUACGAUCUUCUACAUAGGUGUCGAUCCCACAUCAGUCCCCAAUGUUUGAUUAGAUCAUCUAGGAAAAUUUAUCACACAUUUAAUUUGUUUACAUGGGUGUCAAUAAUGAAAUAAAUGCACUCAAUUAUAACUCAUAGAAUGCAUGGCGAAAUAACUUAAUGCUUAGCCCUUUCACUUCUUUUUCGUUUGUUCUUUCUAUAUUUCGAGAGCUCAACUCUCAUUAACAUGAAGAAGAUGGUGAACAUGUCAUUAAGUUGUGCAAGGCUAUCGUACCAAAGGAUGGGUCAUAUAACACAAACAUCCAGUACAAAAACCACAGUAUAAAAACAUUAAAGCCUAGAACCAAAGCCACAGAGGAACCAAAAAAAAAAAGUAAAAGAAAAUUUAGCAGUUCCCCUCAAGCAGUACCGUUGUCUCUUCUGCUUAAUCAUUUUUCCACGGUCUUGAGUUGAUGAUAAUCUCCAGAAUAAAAAUGGCGGCAGAAGCUAUCCUCCCACUUCCACCUACCAAACACAACACGUCAGAAGUUCUCAUUAGCUAUCUAUACAUAUUCAUACAAGAGUAGAUUUUGCGCUACGUGCAUGCAUAUUUCUCCCUUUUCUUACGUAUAUAUAAGUGAAUGGAGAAGUAUAUUAUUUUCUCCAUUCAGAAAUUCAGUGGGUGCGAAAAUGCCAUCCAUGAAUAAACCCUAAAGGCAACAUGGAAGAAGCAAAAAUGAAAGAAAAAGGCAAAAGCAUACCAAUGAAGCAUUUCAAAACUCCGAAGAGCAGAACCUCGGGUCCAAUGAUGACCAGCUGUUUAGCGACUUUUUCCGCCAUGGAAAAAACGCUCUUGCUCCAGCACAACGUUGUCAUACCCGAGGCCACCUGCCUCAUCUUACCAACGACGGUUUUCAGCAGCUCAACCACCCUCUGCAUCGUCGUUGGCGAUCUCUCUCUCUCUCCCCGUUUCGUUUCGGAUUUUGUGAAGCAAAAUGAAUGCGAUGGGAGUCGCCGAGUGUGGUUCGGGGACGGUUUUUGUAGCGGAUUUUUUAAGAAGCAAAAUGAGGAAAGGAUUCGGUGGUUCGUUUUUUAAAAGAGAGGAGUAUGAGAGAUGGGGACUCUUUGAUAAAGUACAACCGAUCGUGAGCUUCAAAGGUGAUGACUUUCGGUGGCUGGGGAAUUCAAAAGGGGAGAUUUGAGUGGGGGUUGGUAAAGGAAAAUCAGAAUUAGACAAGAUUAGAAAGCUGUGAGAGAAGAAAAAGCUUGAGAAUCAAAAGGUGUAGGAUUCAUCUUUCACGCUAUUUAAUAUGAAAUUUGCUUUAUUAAACCCCUUCAUAUGAACUUGUCAGGGGCUGAAUCAGGUCGCCUGGUUGUUCUCCUUGCGUGAUGGUAUUGGACAGAGUAUGUUUCAUCCAUGUUCGGUCCCUCGAAGUAUCCCGGACUGACUUCGUUGUUGUCUGCAUGAUUUUGCUUCAUCCAGUACGUUUCUGUUGCGUUAGAUUUGCUUUUACAUGUGUAGUUUGUUAUUUACGGUUUUCGGAAGUAUUCUCAUCGUCGUUUUCUACGUAGUGUUGGCCUUUAAACUGCGCUUUCGUCCACCCUAAAAGUUUGGAUCUUUUUAGCUUUCUGGUCAUGCAUAUAGCUUUACUUAGCUCAUAAGCAUUCAAUUAGCUGUUUUUUUACUCGCAAGCACUUACUUAGAUUAAAUCAGAAUAGUCCUGAAAACAAAUCGUAAAUGUAUAAUACAAAAGUCUGGAUGGCAUAUUAGAUUAUUAUUAAUUUACAAGAUUAGUUCAGUCAGAAUUAAUCCGGUUUCAUCUAGUGAAGUAUUGAUCUUUGUCACCUAGAUUAGGAAACUCAUAUCUAUUAUUUACUAUGCAUAGCUCAAGGGAAUCCUGUCUUACAUAGCGAGACAUUGUAUAUGUGUAAUGUUGCCUGGUACGGUUCGGGUUAUUUCUUUCUUCAUCUUUUACUUUCUUUGUUAUUAUUUAAUUGUUUUUAUUUUUUGAGUCUCCGUACAUGAAUACUUAGAUUUCCAUUUCUCCUAAAAAAACCAAAAGGAAAAGGUACCCAUGACCAGAAUUACAUUUCUCUAGCAUCACAAAGUCCCCGGCUUUAUGAAUAUCUAGUUCGUAGAAAUAAGCGAUCUCCCACAUCUUACUCAGCUCCUAACAUUAUUGGCGACUCUAGUUAAAAUCGAUCAAAUAAUUAAUGAGAAACUAAGGCCCUGUUUGGUAACCAUCCAAAUAGGGCCAAAUUCUGAUUCUUUGUUCCCGGAAUCAGUUUCGGCUUAGAAUCGUGUUUGGUAAAAUUUUUGUUCCCGGGAACAGAUUGGGAAUAGAAUCAAGAAUAAAAAAAAAAGUUGAUUCUUGUUUCGGGAACGAAUUUGAGAAUCAAAAUCAAUAAAUUUUCUUCUUCCCUUCGGCCAUCUCGCGACCGCCGUCCACCACCGCCCGCCACCGUCCGCCACAGCCAUCCACCGCCGCCGCCGUCCGCCGUCGCCGGCCGCCGGUUCGGCGAGCUCGCCGGAGGCUCGCCAGACUAGGGCGAGGUCCGGCGAGCUCGCCGGAGGCAAGCCCAGUCACCGACGAGCUCGCCGAAGGCAAGCCUAGCCACCGGCGAGGCUCGGCCUCCCCAGAUCUGGCGAGGUCGAGCCUCGCCGGGACUGGGCAAGGGCUGGGCGAGCCUCGCGACGCCCAGCCCCACCGGUGGCCAGGCGAGGCUCGCCCAGGCUCGCCCGAGGCAGGGCAAGCCUCGCCCANNNNNNNNNNNNNNNNNNNNNNNNNNNNNNNNNNNNNNNNNNNNNNNNNNNNNNNNNNNNNNNNNNNNNNNNNNNNNNNNNNNNNNNNNNNNNNNNNNNNNNNNNNNNNNNNNUUCGAAAGUUCAAGGACUAGAUCGGACAUUUUAUCAAUAGUUCAGGGACCAAAUUGAGCCAAUCGAAAGUUCAGGGACGAAAUUGGACAUUGAGUGAAAAUAUAGGGACUAUUUGUGACAUUUUCCCUAUGUUAUACUUUCUUGAAUCCACCUCAAGAUGGUCACAAUAUGCUGAAACAAAACUCAGUUCUACAAUUGAGACCGGAAUGACGUCUUGUUUGUACUUAGGGUGCGUUUGGGAAGACUUUUGGGGAAAGUCUUUGGGAAAAUGCAAAGGCCUUUGAGUUAAAUGUGUUUUUCAAAAUGCAAAUUGUGUUUGGUAAAUUGUAAUUUAAAAGCCCUUUGUGAAGUACCUUUGAGCAAAAUGGUGUUUGGGGGACAAAGGACUUUUGUGAAAAAAAAAAUAUCAAAAGAAAAAUAAAAAAAAUAAAAAAAUGAAAACCAGCAAGGGCAGGCGGCAUCCGGCGGCCGGCGGCGACCCCCGGCGACCCCGGAUCUGGGCCCGCAAGGUCGCGCGACGCCAUCACGACCUCGGAUCUGGGCGGACGAGGUCGCGCGACGCCGUCGCGACCUCCGGCGACCUCGGAUCUGGGUUGGCGAGGUCGCGCGACGCCGUCGCGACCUCCGGCGACCCCGGAUCUGGGCCGGCGAGGUCGCGCGACGCCGCCUCGACCUCCGAGAACCCCGAUUGGCUGUCGCGAGGCUACGCAACCCUCGCCUGAGGUCGGGGGACCUCGGCGAGGGCCGCACCUGAGGUCAGGGGACCUCGGCGAUGGCCGCGCCUAGGUCGCGCGACCUCGGCGAGGGUCGCAUGACCCCGAUCGGCCGUCGUCGAGGCUACGCAACCCUCGCCUAAGGUCACGCGACCUCGGCGAGGGCCGCGCCUGGGUCGCGCAACCUCGCCAGCGGUCGCGCGACCUUGCCGGUGGUCGCGCAACCCGAGUAGCUCCCGCCGGGGCCACCCUCGACGGAGAAGAUGAACAGUACUCCUCACAAGGGCAAAAAACGGAAAAACAAAAAAGUUCGUAAGGAUAAUGUUGGAAAAAAAAAUAUAUAUAUAUAUAUAUAUAUAUAUAUAUAUAUAUAUGAACAGUAACCUCAGCUUACCGAGAAAGCUGAAAUACCCACCCCUGCCUUGGGCUUUCAGCCUUCAAAAGGCAAGUUUUGAGCUAAAGAUACUUGCAAAUUUUUUUGCCAAACACCCAUUUUUAGCCCAAAGGGCUUUGGAAGCCUAAAGUGGCUUGGAAAAGCCAAAUCCAAACGCAGCCUUAGAACAUCAAGACUUUCCUAGAAAAUUGACAAAUGUUUUGGAAAACUCAAGUCACUUUUGAUUUCCCUACUCGGGCCUUAAUUGAAAUUUGAAGAAGUUGGGAGACUAGGAGUUAACUCGCCCACGUCGGGAAUAUAGUUCCUGUUUUUUUUCCCCUUUAUCUUUUGAAUUUGUGAAUAAAGUUCCAGUUUUUAAUUAUGUUCAUCCCGUUAUUACAUAGCAAUGGGAUUCUCACCGCAUCUAGUGGAACAACAGUGUCAAAAAUGGGUCCAUGCCCCAACUAAGCUGUGACAUCCUGAAAUUCGACCCCGUUUCGAUAAAGUGAAAUGAGCAUUUCGUCGGCGUGCCUAUGGCCCUUUUUCUCUGAGCUGAUCACUCACGAGUUAACUAACCUAUUGGGUAAAGCCGUUAAGGGAUGUAUCAGCUGUAAAAUCCCUAAAAGCUACCUAAUUAGUUGGAUUUGGCUAAAAUCACGUCUGAUCGAUUCUUAACCACGAAAUUGAACUCGAUUUCGGGAAUCGAAUUUUAAGCGCGUCAUAAUUCUUAUUUUUAGGAUCAUGUCUCAUCGCUCGUCAAUUUAUUGACGGGUCCGAAAUUUCAAUAAAGAAAUUAUCAGAAGAAAAUUGAAGCCCGAAAGGAAAUAGAUUGAGAAAGAGAAAAGAAAAGAAAAUAAGAAUAAGUGUUAUUUUUAUUUUUCUUUUUCCUCUCUCUCCCUUUCUUUUCUUUCUCUCUCCUCUCCCCUCUCCCUCGUGCGAAUUCCCCACCGCCCAUUCCCUCCCUUUCUCUUUCUUUGACCGGUCAAUGCUUAUCCCUUCUCUCUCUCUCUCUCUUCUCUCUCCUCUCUCUUCUUUCUUCCCUUGCACGACAGAACCGGCUCCUUUCUUCUCCUUCUUUCUUCUUUCUUCUUCGCGGAAACCAGAAGCGGAAGAAGACCAGAAGUUGCAGCUCCGUCGCCGUCCCGCCGCCGCACCGCCGCCGCACCCGCGCCGCGCCUGUGCGCCCGCCGCCGUCCCGCCGUCCGUCGCUCGCGGCCGCUCCUCCCUCCGCACGAACCAGCCGCUGUUCGCCUCUGUCCAGCCCCCGUCCGGCCACCUCCGGCCACCGCCUAGCCCCGCCGGACCACCCCCGCGACCCCCUCGCCCUCCGCCGGCUUCCCCUUGCCGCCCUAGCCGCCGGAGCAGCCCCGAUCGGCUCCGUCUAGCAGACCCACGGAGUGGGUUUCAGCAUCUUCGGGCCCGCUUUUGGGCCGUUUCCCAGCCCCGGAUCCGCGAGUCGCUUUGGGAACAAUCGUUCCUCGCGUCGCCGCCGUCGGAUUGAUCCGAUUUGCGCGCGAUUUGGUGAGUAAUCUCACUAAUCCUGGAUUAGUUUGCUAAUUAUGCUUAAGGUUGGUUUAGAUUUAAUGAAUUAUGUUUAGGUUGUUAGAUUUGAAUAAAUUAGCAAUUAUUAGUUAAUUGUGAUGCGAUUUAGAUAACUUGAUUGCGUAAUUAGCAAGUAGACGUGGUCUACUAAUUAUUGGAAGUGCCUCGGGAAUUUUCCCGACCCUUAGUGGGCUCCAAUUAGGCUUUUCCGGCCUAAGUGGAAUUUUUUAGUAUUUAAUUAUUAAUUUUCGGAAUUACAUUAAAUAAUUAUUUAUUUUCCGAAAAUUCAACUGAGAUGGCCCGGGAUCGGAAUAGUAUGCUGAUGACUGUGGUGAAGUCCGUUUAUUUAAUCGGGCUUUAUUUUGAGCUAAAUUGAAUUUUUAAUAUUAAUUUUAAUUUUCGAAAUUUAUAAAUUAAUUAAUUAUUUUUCGGAAAUUAAGAUUUUGAUGGCCGACGACCGAAAUCUCGUGCUGAUUGUCGUGGCGCAGUCCGUUUAUUUAUUUGAGCUCUACGUUGUAUGGAAUUGAAUAAAUUGUGAUAUUUUAGGGAUUUACCCUAAAUUGAUUGGAAUUGAUUGUGAUUGAAUUGUUGAUUGGUAAAUGGCCAAGUAUGUUAUUCAGUAUUUUAAUGCUUUGUUGAGUUGAUUUAAUUAUUUGAUUGAGAAAUCGUUGGGCGUUGGUUAUUGGUGUUGAAAGUAGAUUGGUGACCACUUGAAAGAGGACACGUGGGCCCGGUGAAUUGGAAUGUCACCUGGAGAAUGCACGUGAGUUUAGUGGUUGAAUAUGUCACCUUGGCGAAAAGGUCGCCUGAGAGAAUGCACGUGGCUCGGUGACAGAGGCUGGCAUCUAAAAGGGCACGUGGGCUCGGCGAAUUGAUGCAUCGCUUUGGUGAGAUGCACCUAAGAGAAUGCACGUGGGCCCGGGCAUCUAAAAGGGCACGUGGGCUCGGUGACUUGAUGCAUCACUUUGGCGAAAAGGUCGCCUGAGAGAAUGCACGUGGCCCAAGGUUCGAGGCACGUGAACUCGGAGACUUGGAAUGUGAUGCAUCANNNNNNNNNNNNNNNNNNNNNNNNNNNNNNNNNNNNNNNNNNNNNNNNNNNNNNNNNNNNNNNNNNNNNNNNNNNNNNNNNNNNNNNNNNNNNNNNNNNNNNNNNNNNNNNNNNNNNNNNNNNNNNNNNNNNNNNNNNNNNNNNNNNNNNNNNNNNNNNNNNNNNNNNNNNNNNNNNNNNNNNNNNNNNNNNNNNNNNNNNNNNNNNNNNNNNNNNNNNNNNNNNNNNNNNNNNNNNNNNNNNNNNNNNNNNNNNNNNNNNNNNNNNNNNNNNNNNNNNNNNNNNNNNNNNNNNNNNNNNNNNNNNNNNNNNNNNNNNNNNNNNNNNNNNNNNNNNNNNNNNNNNNNNNNNNNNNNNNNNNNNNNNNNNNNNNNNNNNNNNNNNNNNNNNNNNNNNNNNNNNNNNNNNNNNNNNNNNNNNNNNNNNNNNNNNNNNNNNNNNNNNNNNNNNNNNNNNNNNNNNNNNNNNNNNNNNNNNNNNNNNNNNNNNNNNNNNNNNNNNNNNNNNNNNNNNNNNNAAGUGAUUGUGGUUUGUAUAAAAGUUUGGUUAUAAAUUUCAAUAUGAAAAAUAUGGCACUGCUUUUCUAUCCCAUCGUUUUAUUGUCUGGGGAUUUUAACUGCUUCCGCAUGUGCUUAAAAAAUUAAAAGGGUUGGCGAUACAUUGUCCUGGGAUAUCGCUUUAUAAAAUCGACCAAGUGAGACGGAUGUGUGCGUGCCUGAGGAUCGGGGCGUGACAACAGUGUCAAAAAUGGGUCCAUGCCCCAACUAAGCAGUAGAUACUUUCUAUAGCAUUCAACUAGCCCGUGAAUUUACAUCUUAAUAUUAUAUGUGAGGUCUUUUUGUAAAAUAAAGCAAAAUCAGUGAUUUCUACAUGGUGUUAUAUCUCUAAUCUCUCUAGACUAGAAAAUCAUUACUUACGGGACAUUGGGUGAUUUAGAUAGCUUGAGAAUUCGAUGUGACAAUAGUUUAAGACUAAGUUAAAUGACUUGACUCAUCAAAGAUAUGAAAACUAAAAAUGUGUAGUACACAGUUGGUUGAGGCAACACAUUGACCUAAACUAAUAAAUUGGGGUUAAAUUAGUUCUAAACGAAACCAGAGCCCCUAAAUUCUGUUGCAGCCCAACUUGUAGGUCGUGAGGCAAGUUCCUCAAGGAAUGAGAAUUUAUGCGAGUGCAUUUGGUUUGGCAUUCCCAAAUAGCUUUCAGCCUCCAAAGCCCCUUGGAGAAAUAUUGAACUGUUUGGCAACCAUUUUGAAAUAACUUUCAAGUGAAAGUCAGUAUUUGAAAGGUUGAAAGCCCAAUGCUAGUAAAGACUAGCGGUGAGCUUUCAGCAUUUUGCCAAAUGCUGAAACUUAAUUUUUUCUUCCAAAACUAUCCUUACUUAUUCUUCAAAUUUCUAAUGUUGCCCUAAUUAUUUUUUUUAAAUGCCAAAAUAAUGCUAAAAAAAUCAAAUAUAUAUAAAUGCUAAAAAAAUUAAAUAUAUUUUGGUCUUUUUAAAAAAAAUAUUUAUAUAUUUGAACUUUUUAGCAUUUAUAUUUGAUUUUUGAGCAUUAUUGUCAAAAUUUAUAUUUAAAAGUUGCAUAUAUUAUUUUUUUCAAUUUUAAACAAUUAAAAAUUUAAAAAAUUACGACAAAGGGUUUGAUUUCUUAGCAUUAUUUUCAAAUUUAUAUUUAAAAAGUUGCAUACAUUAUUUUCUAACAACUUCAACUCACCCUCUAACGUGAAAUAGAGGGUAGGGAGCAUGGAAUACGAACCGGCUUCUAAUUUGUCCUCUCAGGCCACAGCGCUUCUUGGCAUCACAGUCUUCACUGAAUAAGAUCUAAUCCUUUCCUCCGCAUCGCUCGUUUCCCUUUUCAACGCUUCAACACUCUAUUCAAGAGUCCCAGCUCUGGGUCCUGCUUUUGUGGACUUCCAUACUCUAGGGAGUUCCUGAUGCGAUCAAUUCGAAUGACAUGACAACUCAGUUUCAUGAAUUGAAUGAAGAUUUCUUGCUCCAUUCCCUUCAACAUUUUAAAUGAGUCCAAAGUGAAGUAAGAGAGAAGGGUGGAAACAUUACGGAUCUGUUGCAAAGAGAUGGUUAGUAUUGCGGGUUAGAAAGUGGAUAGCUAUUCAUUAUGUAUUAGUACAUGUAUUUUAUUUACUUUGCANNNNNNNNNNNNNNNNNNNNNNNNNNNNNNNNNNNNNNNNNNNNNNNNNNNNNNNNNNNNNNNNNNNNNNNNNNNNNNNNNNNNNNNNNNNNNNNNNNNNAUUGAAAUUAUUCCUAAUGAGUCGUGGGACAAAUGUCUUAUUCAGUAGCAAUAAAAAGGCUCUGCACAAACUGUAUGGGCACCCCAUUCACCUGUUACUACCAGAAACUUUGCCACGAGUGCGGGAGAUAACUAAAUAUAUUAGCCUCAUUCUUGACUAAGAGAGAUUUAUCUCUUCAUACAGCUAUUUGCAGGGGGAGUCAAGUAAUCAUGGAUUGUAACUAAUGUAACAAACUAUCAUUUAAAAUUGUUAAUGGGCAUUAAUACAGUUGUUAAGUUGCAUUAUAGAUGCCUACAAAAUGUCAAUAAAUUGUGCAAGAUUUUAUACUUAUAGAUGUAAUAUUAACUCUAUUCUUGCUGACACACGUAGCUUAGACAACGCCCUCAUUAGGGGAAGAUCAUCAUAUACAACUUUUAGGUCCCACUCCAUUAACGUACUAUUGAGACUCCUAUUCCUUUAAAAAUUGAAGUAAUUAACUUUUAAGUUCUUUUGACAAAAAGAAAAAGAAAAAGUCCUAAGAAAACUAGUUACAAGAAUCGUCUCCUAAUGACAAUCUUCUACAUGUACUUCAAAAAGCUGCUUACAUGCUUCUCUUUCUAUUUCUUGCAGAGUAAAGGCCACGAAUCAAAAUAGCCAAAUCACUCUCCAAUGAAACCUCUUUUAUCAUUUCCACACUGCAAAAAACACAAGAUAUGUCUAUAUGACUAUCUUGUGAAGCCUUCAUUGAAAAAUUAACCUUUGUAAUCUAUGAACCAUGUGAGAGGGAAUAAAGACAUUGCACAGCCAUAUAUGUAUGCUAUGUUAUAAACAUCUAAUGCAAGCUAGCAAGUGAUGAAUCUGAAGAAAGCUUUAUUACAAAUCAGAUCACAACGUGACACCACUCUAAAGAAUGACGAGUUUAGAUCUCUUGGAUAUCUAUCAUAUUCACAUGUAAACAAAUGAUAGAGCUCCGUUUUACCCAACAUAUGAGAACAUACUUUCUAGUAGUCAAAAAAUUGCAACAUUCCUAACCAGAUGUCAACAGAGUCAGUUCUUCAACAUUAUACCUCUAACCUCAAAAGAGAACUAGUUCUUCAAAUAAAGCCAGAAUGAAGUCAUGCUUUCUAAACAUAACGGCAAGAUAAAAAGUAACUUAAGGGCGAGGAGAGUCAGCAUUUCGUUGACCAAGUAAAGUAGGAGAAAAAAAUCUAACACAGUUUAUGUAGACAUUUUGGGAGACAACUCUCCAGUCUCGACAUAAUGUGCAAGUUUAAAGGAGACCAAAGAACAUAGAAUAGUCCAACAAAAAUCCAUAAUCUUUUCUCUUAAAGCACACAUAGCUUCAAAUGAAAUGCCAAGUGUAACUUACAUUUGUGAAAAGUGUUAAACUUGGUAAGCACAACCUGAAACCUACAACAAACAAACUAACUUCCAGUGAGCAUUGUCAUGAAUAUAAAUUAAAAUGCACUCUAAGAUCCAGCUUUCAUCAUUAGAAAAAAGGAAUCCUAAAAGGAAGUGCCACAAUAUUACUGUCAGAGAUACCGUGAAAUUCAUCUUCAACAUAAAUCCAUUGUGGUCAGUAAGACUCAGGCAAUUGGGAGCCCGAGCCAAAUAUUAGGAAGACGUGAGAAAAUAGAUGGCACAAGAGUUAUGGACUUCAACCCCACACAACACAAAAAAAUCCACCAGAAAAGCAAAAGAACUCUUAGGGAGACAGACCUCUUAGGAUACUGAAAACUGCAAAAUGAAGAGUUGACUAAUCACUAUUAAAAGAAAUAGUUUCCACUUCUUGUGCAAUACAUAAGCAUAAAUCAAUAACUGAUCAAUUGUGGUAGAACACUGAGAUAUUAUUGUGUUCUUAUGACAACCAAUUUCUAUUACUAACAUCUAUUCAACUUGGACAACACAUACCACAAAUAAAGUAAUCUCACUAAGUACUGUCAAUUUGUUGAAGAGAUCCAGCAAAAUUGUAAGAGAACAUUCGGUGAAGUCGAAUUUCAUCCAGAGAUGAAGAAGCUUUUGCUGCAUCUCAUGGACCCGAUGAAGAGACAGAAAGGCUCUAAGAAUGUAAUAGAGGACAAGAAUUGAUGGGACUUUUCAAAAAAUGACCAACUUUCAAUUCCAAAUCACAAAAAAGGAGGCAGGGAAGGUACCUUUCUUUUGUUUAGGGGGCUUCUUUUCUUUUACCAAGUGAUACUUACUUCUCUAAGGCAGGUUUCUUUUAUUUUACCAAGCAGUACUUCCUUCUCUCUAAAUGCCGCAAUUUCUACCUCUCUUUGCGAGAGAGAUGGAAAGUAGCUAUUUCCAAGGCUCUGGGUUCUCACUUAAUUUAAUUCUGCAGAAGGGAUAUCUUACUUGUGAAUAGCUUCCUUUUUUAUGGUGGGAUCAAAGCCAUAAGGAAAGUGAUAAUACUCAAUUCUCAACAGAAAUCCCUGCAUGGAGCCAGUGGAUGGCAAUGCCAUCCAAUGCAAGAUUUCCUCCCAAGUCUCCAACUUUCCACACGCCCAACUCAUACAGCUGAGAAAUACUUGAACUCCCUUGGCCUCCUAGAGAAAACCAAAGCUGAUAAAAAAAAAGCCAUGGAUUCCACAUGAAUUCAUUGUCUAUUACAUCAUAAAAGCAAGCACAUAUUAAAUAGUGCUUGUGUUAGCUAAUCCACUCUCAUCAAUGCUUAACAUAAUGAGCAAAUUCAGGAUCUUUACAGGUUCAUGACAGGAGAAAUAAACUUAUGCUCUCGCUACCAAUAAUCCCCACAAGAGCAUAUGCCACUCCUGAAGUGAUGAAAGCGGCUGGAAUCUCUCACAACAAUCUAACGAUCAACAAUCUUUGCAAUCAGUUUAAUUGCAGAAUGACAAUCCCCACAAAUGCGAAGAUUCUUCAUACAGUAUCGUACUACCCUCGACAGUAGUAAUCAAUGCAAAUGCAAUAGCAAGCCUUUUACUAUGGUAAAAUAAUGACUCUUCCUUCUGUUCAUCUUCCACGUCAUGGAGAGAGAACCUCUUAUCUGGAAGAUAACCCAAUUCCUUCAACUUCAUAUUCAACCAAUCCAGCUUCCAAUAUAUGUUCUCACUCAAAGAGUGGGAUUUAUCCCCGGAAAGAAAUAAAUGCUUUUGCCCCUUUAUAGUAACCCAACUUCUACCUGGUUGCUUCACAAUCCCUUUAUCCCUCAUAGUCACUCUUAAUCGCGAGACAUCACCCCAUCUAUUAGUAGAAGCAUAGAAGUUGGACAGUAAAACAUAAGCAGCACUACAAUGUGGUUCUAGGCCAAGAAUAUAGUUUGCAGCUCUAUCUGCCAAAUCUAGGUAGAACGCAUCCUGCAAGAACUAAGCAAAGCAAACCACACUAUGGAGUUAGUUUUAAGGGGCAUGUUUCUUACAAAGUCCUCUGCUUCCUCUAGCUUCCCACAUCGUCCUAGAACAUCCACCAUACAUGCAUAAUGCUCGUGUUUCAAUUCGAUAGAAGUGUUCUCACUAAAAUAUCUGAACAAGCAUCUCCCCUUUUGUAACAUCCCAGAAUGACUACAUGAAGAAAGCAGUCCCGUGAGUGUGAUCUCAUCUGGUUGUACUAGUCCGCGUAUCAUUUGGCUAAACAACUCCAUAGCCCACAUCCCUCGGCCAUGUUGUGCACACCCGCAAAUAAUGGCAUUCCAGGUGACGAUGUUCUUCUCCUUGAGUCUUUUGAACACUACAACAGCAUCAUCAACAUCCCCACACUUACUAUACAUGACUACAAGAGAAUUGCCAACAAAUACAUCACUUCCCAAUUGCAGCUUUACAGCUAAAGCAUGGACCUCCUUACCUCGAUAUAGAGACUCUAAACUACAGCAAGAAUUUAGAGCGCUUACAAAUGAAGAUUGAUUAGGAAGAACACUUGUUCUCAUCAUGUCAUUGAACACCUUCAGGCCAUCUUCAUGCCUGCCAUUCAAGCCAUAACCAAUUAGAAGAGCCGUAAAUAUGACCACAUUCCUAUGCACUGCUUCAUCGAAGACUUGGGUUGCUUUCUCAAUUCGCUUGCAGUUAGCAUAGAAUGUGAUAAGAGAAGCACAUACAAAUACGCUAAGGCAGAAUCCUGACUUGAGAAAGUGACCAUGAAUCUGCAUGCCAAGAGGAAAAGACAAUGCAUUUGCACAGGCACUCAAUGCACACGUCAAAGUACUCGGAUUGGGCACAACACCAUACUUGAACAUUCUCUCAGAUACAUUUAAAGCUUCUUCACUCUUACCGUUUUGGUCAAGCCCGCCAAUCGUCAAAGUCCAUGAGAUCACAUUUCGGGAAGGCAUUUGCUCAAACAAUUUCACAGCAUUGUCCACUCUAGCAUUCUCACAAUACCCAUGAAUCAUUGCAUUCCAUGCAGCAAGAUCUCUUAUGGGCAUCUGCUUGAAAAAUACCUCUGCCCGCUCAACCUGUCCAAAUCGAAAGAACCCAUUUAUCAUCGUUGUCCACGAAACAACACUUGGUUCAGGCAUUUCAUCAAAAAGCUCUUUCGCCGUUGUCAAGUCCACGCAGUCCAAGCAGCCUUUGAUCAUCGUGUUCCAGCAAAUUGCAUCUCUCACGGGCAUUUCGUAGAACAGUUUCAGGGCGUCAUCAAGGCGGCCAGUUCGCAAGCGACCCAUAAUCAUCUUUGUAAAUGAACGAACAUCUGGGCAUUGAAAUUUGUCCAGAACCUCCCGAGUUUCAUCUGGGUUUUCAUUCCUAAGGUGUCCAGAGACUGUAGGACCAUCACAGGUCGCAUGACUCGCAUGUCUGAAGAAGCGCUUGGAGAGAUGGAUGCAGGAUUCGGAUGAACUGAGCCAUGAAGAAGGGAAUGAACGUGUGCAAGAGCAUCUGAGAUUUGGGAAAACGGCAUGAAAUCUCAUCAUGACUGCAGGCUCCUCUGCUCCUGUCGUCCCCGUGGGCAGGACACGCAGGAUGUUAUCCGGUUUCUUCUUGCCGCAAUAACGUUCCCAUCCUCAAUAAUCACACAGCUGUUCAAUCAAAGAGUCCAAUCUGAGAUCAUUCACUAAUUAAGACUGAAAUACGAAUCUUCUUAAUUAGAAAAUAAAGUAACAUAUAUGCAACGCACCUGGUUACUGAAAACCAGUGUCUUACCCAACUGGAACUUCAAGGCUGUCCAACGCAAGCUUUGCCUUAUAUAAGAAAGGAAAUAGAUCUUGUUACUUGUUAGGAGAAAAAAAAUAUGAGAAUAAGAGUCAAAAUUCUCUCAUGCAUGCAUGCAUAAAGGCAAAUUCAAGAGGAAAUUGGCAUCACGUUGCCGGCAGUAAAAAUGUUUCAGUAUCAUUAUGCAGCUACCAAUGGCACAAAUGCAUGUCUCACCACAUACUCAUCCUGUAAUACAGAUGCAAAUCCCACCUAACAGUUAAACCGAUACAGCUCUAGCAACAGCACAGCAAAAAUGAGAACUAAUUUGAGAAACUACAUGUUGCUCAGUUUAGUGUGUCUUAUCAUGGGUACCUCAUUUCUUUCGUUAAUGAGGUUUCACUCAAACAUUCAAGAAGCUUCCUGGUGUUUUUAGCUUCUAGGUCAUUUUCCUUUACAAAUGCUAUGGCAUAUAAGGAUGAAGAGAGAUCCCUGUUGUGAAGCCCUCGCAAAUCAGAAUUGACAAUCAGCAUCUUGGGAUUUUGUCUCUAUUCCACUGAAUAACUUAUGUAAACUCUGUGUUUCUCGUGAUUUUUUUCUUUUUCCAUAUCCACACCACAGUGCCAAAGAAAAUAACCAUUCAACCAAUUAUCCAUGGGUACAACCGAUGUUCACAUUAUUCUCGUGCUCCAAGUAAAUUUGGUUUUAAUUUUCCCUAGGUGCUAAAGUCAAAAGGUGGUAAAAGGAUUGCACCGUCAAGCAAACACCUUUACUGGUGGCUUGCCAUCUCAUUGCAUCUUCUUCAUUCCUCUCUAGUUUUGCCUCUUCAAAAGCCUUAUGAAACUUAACACAGAGUCCUAUCCCAGUGAUCGAAGCUUUUGACAAUUUAAUUGUCCUGGCAAACCUAUCACCCGCUGCCCAUCUUUAUAAUAGGCACAUACUACACAUCCACAUUUCCUAGACAACUCAAAAGCACCCAAAUCCAUCCCUCCCUCCCUCUCAACCUACACCACCCGGAUUGACUCCAUUUUUUGCCUGAAAUGGGGACUAAACCACCCCAUGUACACCCAACUUCCCUUUGUUGCACUCGGCCUUGCUUGUUUUUCCUUUAAACCUAGACUUCACGUACUUAUUUCAAUAAAGUACCACCUAUGAAAAGAGAGAAAGAAAACCUAUACCUUCUAGGGAUUGUUGCUGAUUUUGCUGCAUGUAAUGUCGAUUACCAACAGAUGCACUACCAAGCAUCCACAGACAACACUUACAAAGAAACACUCAUUCAACGUCUCUUGUCCAAAUUCAACUUCAAGUUCCCAUGCAAUUAUAGCACCAAAGGAAUCAGACUCAAACUUCAGCUCAAGUAUUUC